CUCGUCAUCAUUGGGAGAUUGUUCCUCAGCACCGUUAAAGCAAUCUUCUACAUUGGAACCGGAGAAGUCCACAUGCACUUCCCCUCUGAGAAGGUACGCCGCUAUUUCACUGACCUUAACUAUAUAGUUGAACACUCUAAGCAGGUCAGGACAAGAAGAAGACGACGCAACCGCAACCAGAGGAGGCAAAUCAUCAAGGACGGAUGGGCAGACUACGAAGAAGUGGUAAUAUCUGAAGACAUACUGCUUGAACAGAACUGUCCUGAGGAGACCGUAGCACCGAGUCAGGUGUGUAGAGACAAGAUAGUUAUACAUGAAGAAGAAGCGCCGCCGGAACCACCGACUACGCCAUCCAGCAAAUCCUAGGACGACUGAGAAAACAGAGAGUCCCGUUCGGAGGACUUAAAAACACCAAACGCCUUGCCAAGAGGUAAACUUGGUAAUUAUCCAUUCCCUUUCAAUUAUUUAAAAUAGUUUGCUUAGUUAAUCAGGUUAAUAUCAUCUUGAAAAGAAAAUAAAAAUGUUAAAAAAUAGUAAGCCCCAUGUGAGUAUGCUCAUGGCAUAAAACCCAUAAGUACAUUCACUGUGGUGGCAUAAAAAUGAAAUAAAUAUAUUCCUGUCCUAUAAAAAUAAAAUUAUAAAAAUAAAUUUAUGAUCCUACUAAAGAGAGUAACAUUUUUUGAGGAGGCUCAACAUGAUAAAUGAUAGAUAUUUAUGCUAACACUUAACAAGUUCCACAAAGCUUUGUUGUCUAUUUGAUCUCCACAGAAUUCAAGGAUCAAAGAAGACUAGCAGAGGGACGACAUCCUACUCGCUGUCAGGGCGCUGCCAACAUUCAAAUACACCUCUGCCACGUGCUAGCUACAACAGAAGAAAUUACGUCAAAAUCCAGCUUGGGGGAGAGCACCCCCAUUUAUCCAGCUAAGUGUUUCUACUCGCAUUAUACUCAAAUAAUAAAAAGAUGCAUAAUCAUGAAAACCCAAAUAAAUAUUUUGUGCAUAUAUAUAUCUUUGCUUAGUUUGCUAAAUAAAUAAAUAAAUAAAGAUCGCAUGAACCCUCAUGAUAAGCUCUCACAUGGAAAUAAUGAAUAGUUGCUCUGCCAUGACUAGUUCUCAAAAUUGAAAUCUCUCUCAAGUUUAGGCAUGACUGUUAUUAAUUAAGAUUUGCUCUAAACCUGAACUUGUGGGAAGAGUACUUGAUCUAAAGUCUAAUUCGUUAACGGAUAUGAUAUGGGAAGGUUGAGCUGCUGUUUAUCUGUUCCUAGAGAUGCUAGAAUUCUGGAGAAUUUUAUCUUUGAAAAUCUUUAAAAUGUUGCAUGAUGAGUUCCUGUAUGAUGAGAGUUUAAAUUCCUACCACAGCCAUAUAUACAUGCUUAUUGGACUAUGAACCACACAUUUACUUUUUACUGCUUAUGAGCAUUGAGUGUGGUCAAGCUGUGUAGACCCUUAGGAGCUUGUGAUGUGGUUAAAUCAAGAUUCACUUGCACGUUCACUCACACAUGCUACUUCUACUCCAGAAGUACCAUCCACAUAUAUCCAUCCAUUUCCAUCUCCAGAACCACCCAAAAAUAUUCUACUCCUAAUCCGGGAGAGAAUAGCCAAAAACAUUCUCCUAUUUCUGUUUUUCCCUAUGAAAUAAACGCUCAAGUUAUCUUGGUUACUACCACUUGCUAUAUUAUUUUAGGAGAUAAGUGCUCUAAAAAAAGAAAAAAAAGAGAUAAAAAAAAGAGAUACGAGGAAAUAAAAAGGGGCAAGUACCCGGAACCUCGAAAGAUAGAAAAAGUGAGACGAGAGGUAAAAAUGGACAAGUGUCCGACAGUACAAUUAGGGGUACAAGAUACCCACAUGAGAGAAAAAGAAAAUAUAGAGCAUCUCAUUCUCCUCAAAAAGUUUCAAAAGAGCAAGAAAGGUAUGUAUCCCCUCAAAAGAGCACAAGUAGAAUUAGACUUUCACCAUUGUUAUUACCAUCAUCACCAUACAUCAUUCAUUCACCACACAUGCACAUCUUGAUUUGACUUAUGGACUUGUUCUUCUGGAUCCAUGGUUUGACUAUGCAAUAAAUAUCUUGUAAGUAUGUAUUAGCUGUCUCCCACCUAUGAGCUCCAGAUAUCAAAACCUUAUUAGAGUAGGGUGAGAGAGAAGGCAAUGCACUAUGCUUCAUACCACAAAUACCACAUACUUUGAGAGCAGGCAUAUACCAUCACUGUCUUGGUAAGGAUCCAGAAAUACCACAAAAGAGAGACUAGAGAGAGUCAUACAAGGAAUCUCUGAGUUUUAUUUGAAAAUCUGCAAAAACUCCAGAGCUAUAGUUAAUCGAAGAACAAGAGAUAUGGUGCUUGACUAGACCGUUCUAUCUUUUAACUGCUCAAGACACAGGUGACGGUUGCAAGCCCCUUGGUGGAAGGCAAUAUGAGUAAGUUUAAAUCUUAACAGUUUACCCUAACCCAGAGAUGAGAUCUUGUUUGAACGCAUGUGUAUCUUUAAGGCAUGAAACCACUGUAGAAACUCUUGAGUUCAUCUUUGCUCAGGGACGAGUAAAGGUUAAGCUUGGGGGAGCUUGUUGACGGUCCUUAAUGCUCACAUUUAACCAUCAACUAAUCAUAGAAAAGGAUCCAAAUGCAACUAACACCCAGACUUAGGGUUUUAUCUCACAGAAUUCCAUGAGUUUUGGUGUUUGUCUAUUUCUACAGGGGUUAUCAGGAAAUACGGAGGAAAGGCCCACACGUCGGGUUUACAUAGAGAUAUGAACGUGCCGCGCAAUUUUCUAUCAUCUAGAAGACUCCAGAAGCCACGGGAACGAAGCGGAGGCCGAGAGGGCUCGGGCAUAGGGCGCCCGCCCUAGUCCUGAGGGCGCCCGCCCUGCUACAGUGCUCAAUCAGAGUCCAAUUCGGGGACAACGCUCCACCGACCUAAAGGAUCAAGGAAAACCAUGCGAUUAAUGUCAGCUUGAUCCAACGGCCCAGAUUCAUCUGAAAAGACUAUAUAAGAAAGGCCCCCUGGCCCCUGGAGAUCAUACCUCUUCUACAGAAUCAAAGUUAGGGUUUCAAUUCUUCAUCCAAGUAGAGAGGAUUCCUCUAGUUCUUCUAGUUCUACCUCUAGUUCAUCUAGAUCUAGUUCUAGUUCAUCUAGUUCUAGUUCUAGUUCCUCUAGUUCUAGUUCUAGUUAGUUCUAGUUGUAAUCUAGAAAAUAGGAAGAGAGAAGAGGAGAGCGGAGGAGGAGCCGGAUCUGUCGGAUCUUCCUCAACAUUGUACUUUUGCAGCAACUAGUUCGUUCUUCAUCGUUCUCUAGGUUCUUCAAUUCAUAAUUCCUGAGUUCUUUUAUUACUUUUAUUUACAUUCAAGUUAUUUAUUGGAUUCCCGCUUGCAUCAAGUGCUCUAAUCUUUGAAACAUUAGAGUAGUAAUUAAUAGAUUAGACGUGGUGUUUAGUCUUGCAUUACCUGGAAUUGCACCCAAUCCUGCAGAUUGUUGUUGUAGCCUUAGGGUAGUGACAGCCCUAACGGUCGACAUAUUCCACCUCGUUCGGAUCGUUGUUUGUAGGACCGUAGUCGGAGCUUCCUAGCCCCCUUCUUAUCUCUUUCUGUGGUUAGUGUUCUGAUGUCCCGAAAUAGAUAAUCUUGAAGUAAUUCUUGAUUAUUAGAUCAACUAGAGAACUCUCAGGAAACUUCCUCUCUUCCCACCAUAAAUAAUUAUAUAGUUAUCCUUGGGCGAUCUUGAUUCUUAAUUAGUACACUCACGUUCUCUGUGGAAAAUCGAUACUCUGGAAUACUCCCGGGUGAAGGCUACAUCGGUAUCCGUGCGCUUGCAGAUUUUUCUGUUUGCGUUUAAAAUACCCAACAGGCAUUCUUGCAUAAAAAUGUCAAGGAUGCCAGGGACCUCAUUGAAAAGAUGGUCGUCAACCAAGGAUGGAAUGAGGAGUGCCUCCAGCCCAAGAAGAGAGGUGUCCAUGCCCUCAAUGAGGUGGACAUGCUCUCUGCCAAGAUGGACCUCCUUAUGAAGAAAAUAGAGGAAUCUUCCUAUAAAAAGGGAUUGAGGCCAUCCACACCCCUGCUGCUGUUCAUGCUAUGGAAACUGAUCCAUGGUGCGAGGUAUGCGGAGGAGAUGAUCACUCUGGCAAUAACUGCCCCGAGACCCAAGAGGAGGUGAACUACAUCAACAAUAACUUCAACAACGGGAAUCGGCCCCAACAACAACAAUGGAGUUCACGCCCCUUCUACCAAGGCCAAGGUAUGGGUUACAAUAAUAAUUUUGGUAAUUCCUUUGGUAACCAACCUUCACUUAAAGAUCUUGUGCUAGGCCAAACUAAAAUUAAUGACAAUAUCAAUAAGAGAAUUGUGGCUAAUGAUAAGAUCCUAGAAAGCCUUAGUGAGAAAAUGGACAGCUUCAAUUCUACCAUUAAGAAUCAAUUGAGCUUUAAUAAAAUGUUAGAAACAUAGUUAGCUCAAUUAGCUGUAGUUGUCCCAUCAUAUGAGCAAGGUAGGAUCCCAGGGAAACCUGAGGACCCGCUUGAGUGUGUUAAAAUAGUCUCUACGAGGUAUGGUAAGCCUCCGGUCCGUUCAAAUUGGGGAUAUCUCCUUGAUCCCCCGUUCAUCACAAAGAAGGACGACCCAGGCAUGCCGACCAUCACUUGCGAGAUCGGACCACAACUCUUCCACAAUGUCUUUUGCGACCUUCGAUUAAGCGUCAACAUCAUGUCCAAGGUAAUUUAUGAAAAUCUGUUAGGGGGCGCUUUGCUCCCUACCUUUAUGAGUUGCAGAUGGCGGACCAAACCAUUUGGUUCCUAGAUGGAGUCGCUAAGGACAUCUUGGUUAUAAUCCAAGAUGAAUAUGCCCCUGCCGAUUUCGUCAUCCUCGACAUGGGGUCAAACAUCGACGUCCCCGUCAUCCUAGGAUGGCCAUUCUUGAACACGGUGAAUGUCGUCAUCUACGUUAGAUCUAGCUAGAUCCAUCUACAGUUCGCAGGUAAGAGGAUCAAAUGUCCUUUCAAUGGCUAUAAAACUAACAUGCAGCUGAAGGACAUGAAACCGGACGAGAAACCUCGCGGCAAAUCCCACUGGAGGUACAACAAAGGCAAGUCAGCCAAAAGGCCAAAUAGAAGGAGGAACCCACCCAGCAAGUGGAACAUUCCAAAAAGGAAUGGUGGGAGAAGGAGAUGCCUACACGGUCCCCGUCUCUAGGACCAACCGAGGCGUCCACAGAAUGAAACCCGACAGAGAGGUCCUACUCUAUGGACCUAAAACAUGGAGCCCUCCGCUGACCAGGUAUGUCAGUAGUUAUCUCAUAUUUAUUUUUCUGCAUUUCAAUUUUGCUUUCCAAUUGCAUGCUUACUAAAAAUUAUUUACAUGUUUUUGCACGUUUAUUUUAUUUCAACCAAAUAACUUAGAUUUGAAUAACAAAACUUGAGAAGAGUGAUUAGAGAAAAGGUGAGCUGGUGGGGCCACCAUUGCCAGGUCAGCCGACCUGGCUUUGUGGGUCCACCACCUCUCCCUCCACUCAGGCUUGAAGUAAGAAUCCUAGGAGGGGCAUUGGAUACCCUGGGUGUCAAAAAGGAAGGUCGACCGACCUAGUCUUGGUGCCACUAGGCAUCCUGCUACCUCCCAAUGAUGAUGUCAAAGGAUCCCAUGCUCAACACACUAGCCAGAAUUUGAGGUGAGAUGGUCCAAUGCUCAUAACUUUAGCUGACGAUGCUACUUUAAGCACUUUGAUGCUUUAGGGAACAUUCUGUCGAGGGUAUCAGUGAGGGGUAUCCUAAUUGAUGUACAUAACGAGAUUGCCCGUAUGCAGGUCGAGGCCCUCAACUCGACGCUCUAAUCAGUCACAAUACAGUCAUCGACGACCGCAACCUCGAAGACGGAAAAGGCGUCGAGCGAAUCGAUUAGGGCUCGAGCGCCAACUACCGUCGAAUACGGAGACAGGCUCGAGCGAACCAGGAGGCGUCGAACGCAAGGACGCCGCCCGCCGCUUGACGCGCGCACGGGAACCAGGGCAUUUAAUGCGCCUAUCGCGUUCCCACCUAACAUGCCAAGUCACGGGAAGCGUGAUAGGGAACAGGCACCCGUCCCGUCAUUCUUUUUGCAGCCUUCCCCAACAAACAACCCAGAGCAUGUCCGGACGCGAGAAGCGGGGAUGGAACAUCUAAUCAAGACCUCCUCGAGACAUCCAAGGUCAACGCUCUAGAUAGCAAGGCGCUACACGGCGUCCGACCCUCGACCAGACAUGUUUCCUUCCUAGGGAAGGGUUGGGCGUCGAAUGACAACACUGCAACCACUCCGACGUAUCAGCCGCCAUGACGUACAGGCGUGCAACGGAUAAACCAGUCCAAGACGGCGCACAGAGCAGGAUAUGGGGCACGCGUAAUCAUCAUCAAGCUACCAGGAUGGGACGGCUCGAGACUACGCCGGUACGGAGGCCUCGAGUAGGUCCGCGCGCCAUACCUCUAUCGACCCCUACUGUGACGCCUAUACUUGUACCCUGGGCUUCUCCUUGGAACUAUAAAAGGGGAAGACCGAGAGCAAACUCAGGCAUCAAUCACGCAAGACUACACCCAUACGCAGUAGAACUCCCACACUCCAUCUCCUUCCAUACCACGCUUGUAUUCACUCCUGUACAAGCACUUAGGUGCAAAAUAAUACAAACUCUCCUCCCCCACUGGACGUAGGGCCUUCUCUUGCCCGAACCAGGAUAAAUCCUUGUGUCUUUUUGCAUCACCAUCUGGAAAAGGGAGCACGCAUACAAAUUCACUCGUUGGUGUGACCCCCCGUGGGGAAAACACUGACAGUUGGCGCGCCAGGUAGGGGUCCUGCGUGUUUUUUCAUCGAUUUCCCAUUCUUUUCCAGAUGGCCACUCUUUCUUCACCGAUUCCGCGCUCCACGGUGAUUUGGUUUGGGAGUCUCAAGUUCAUGUCUACUGGCUCCGGCUAUGACAUGAUCUUGCUCUCGAUCAAAGGACCGGGAGGAGGCCGCAUUGCGCCAACAUGGUUGAGGGUCCCGAGACACCCUCGCCACCACGCCUCUCCACCCAAGAAGAGGUGUGGACAGCGCCACCAUCGCCUAUCCACCGCGCCACGACCGACAGCUCGUGCCAGGCGGGAGGUGGCAUAGGAGCCGAUAGCACCGCGCGCCGAAUCCGUGGGUGUGACGGCUCAACGCCACGAGGAUUGCAUGACGACAGGAGGUGACGCGCCCCGCGCACUCUCCCCCACCGCCAGGCUACUUCCACACGGGCUGUUCGCCCCAAGAGGAGCGUUGCCGUUCGGUUUAGACAAUGCCGCAGCGUCGCUCGCCAGGGCGAUAUUCCCAAACGCCCAGACGUACGUGGAGAGACCAAUGGUCCUCCCACGUGACCCUGGAGCGCAGCAACCAACGUCCGAGCUAUCGGAUUUCUCCCAGGUACAAGGCCUCCGUCGCCUAGGCCCUGGGCGAUACACGAUCACCUCGCUCAGGCAGCGGCUGCUGGAGGAGGGACGUGGAUGUUUCUACGCUGCCAAGCCGGACUCCGACUCCGAGACCGAUAGCUACGACCCUACCAGGGAAUGCUAUCAUUUCGACGGGGUGGUAGAAACUACCAACGAGACGCAGGAUGCUGCCGCUGGCGGUCGAGCCCCUGCAACAAGGGAAGACCCCAGGACGCCUGGGAACGACGGACAGGUCGACCCACCACCGCAAGAAGACAGAGCCGCGCAACUUGCGCAGCUACGAGAGCUCAAGACAAAGCUUUACGAGGAUCGUGAGUGCCUCAUUCAGCUUGAACAGAUCCUCGAGCAGGACCUGCCUUAUCCGCCUGGCGGAAGUGUCCGCAGACGAGCUCGAGAGGUACACCGGUAGAUCAUCGGAGACGCAGAGCCUGAGCAGCCCGUCAGCAGUUUCCCUCAAGCAGGCCAGAAUGUUGUGGCAGCAACAAUGCUCCUGCGAAACAUGCCAGAGCCAUCGAACUCCCAAGCACGGCGCAUCCGAGACAAGGUGCAGACUCUGCUGCAAGUGGCGGCGGUUCAGCAGGUCCAAAGCUCGGCUUCGCGACGUCGAGGAGCGGCCACUGAAAAGCACGAUGAGCCAGCCCAAAAGAAAAAGGAGGUAUCGGUCCAUCAACAGCCACCCCCUCGAGGGAAAAAGACCACGCUCGUCCUCCCUGUCGACAACCAACGUCGACACGACGCACGACGCGACAUCUAGGAUAAUCGAAACCGUCGGUGUGGGGAUGCGGAGGAGCACGGUUACAGUGCUCACCGCGGCGGAAGGUACGACAGCGACGAGGACCGGAUGGCCCCGGAACCACCGGGCCCAAAGGUGUUCAGCAGGGCGAUCCGCACCACGCAGUUGCCCAGCCCGUUCCGGCCUCCGACCAGCAUCACAAAAUACAACGGUGAGACCAAGCGAGAGCUGUGGCUGGUAGAUUUCAGGCUGGCCUAUCAGCUAGGAGGCGCUCGAGGGGACGAUCGGGCCAUCAUCAGACAGCUGCCGCUCUUCCUCUCCGACACCGCCCGCAGGUGGCUCGAGGAGCUCCCGGCCAACUAGAUCUACGACUGGGUCGAUUUGGUCAGGGUGUUCGAGGGCAACUUCAAGGGAACCUACAUUAGACCCGGCAACUCGUGGGACCUUAGCAAAUGCAAGCAGAGGUCGGGAGAAACCCUCCGAGAGUACGCUCGACGCUUCUCGAAGAAACGCACCGAGCUGCCGCACAUCCCCGACCACGACGUCAUCUUGGCCUUUGUCUCAGGCACCACCAGUCAAGACUUGGUGCGGGAAUUAGGCCGGAAUCGCCCCCAGACCGUCGACGAGCUGAUGGACGUAGUGGCGAACUACGCGGCGGGGGAAGAAGCGGUCGGCGCCUUCUUCAGCUGUGAAGGAAGGAAAGGCAAGCAGCUCGUCGAUGAUGACGAGGGCCCCAGUCGAGGCCCCAAGAAGAACAAGAAGAAGAAGAAGAAGACGCGGCCUUUCCAGCAGGAGGACCUCGGCGACGAUUUCGUCGCCGCCCUGGAGCGCAAAAGGCCUCGAGGCCCUCCAAAGGUGGGCAUCUUCGAUAAGAUGCUAAAGGAGCCAUGCCCUUACCAUAAGGGAGGAGCCAACCACAAGCUCGAGGACUGUCGUAUGCUGAAGAAGCAUUUCGAUGGUCUGGGUUCAAGAAGGACACUCGCGACGAUCAAAAGAAAGAGAAAAGCAGCGACAAAGGGGACGACAAAGACGACGAUGGCUUCCCUGCCGUCCAUGACUGCUACAUGAUCUACGGAGGUCCCUCGACGCAGCUGACCGCAAGGCAACGCAAGAGGGAACGCCGUGAGGUUUUUGUGGCAAGGAUGGCGGUGCCCCAGUACCUCAGCUGGUCGAGCACCCCCAUCACCUUCGACCGACACGACUGUUGAUAUUUGGUAACGCAAUAAGGAAAUGAUCCGCAAGCGCACGGAUAUCGGUGAGCAUUUCACCCGGGAGGUUAUCCAGAGUUAUCGUAUUUAUAUUUUUACCACUAGGAGAAAGGGUGCAUCUGACUAACCAAAUCUAUUGCUACUAUCCCUUUAGGCACAAAGAAUGUCUUUCGAUGUGAGUGAUAAAUAGAGAAGACUGCAGCCGUAGUCUCCUUCUAACCUUGGUAAGGAUGAUCUACUGUUCUAAUGGGGAGGCUAACGGAAUCUAGACACCACAAAGGAUGUUCAACCCGCACGUAUAAACCCUAUCCUUCCUGCUAACGAGAUGUGAUCUACAAAGGUAGCUCGGAAAUGUCACGUUCCUCACUACUACCACGGUCCAGCUAGUCAGGGAAUAUCUAUGAGUACCCCAGCCUAAACACCACGUUUACGCCAGCAAUGAUUACUCUAAACUCUACGCGAAGAGAUUAAAGUAAACUCAUAAACCAUAAGAACAAUAAAACAAGAACUUACUAGAAUUUAGAAGUCGAAUUACUGAAGAAUCCUAGGAGCAAGCUUCGGGUUAGGAGAACUUCAUCCCGCAGGUACAAGCUUGGAGUAGACACCGACAGGCCGGGCUUCCUCCACUCUACACCUCCACUCUAUCUCUCUCAAUCUAGUAGAAACUAGAAGAUCUAUUUCUACCUUACAUUGAUUGCUAAGCCUAAAAAGAAAUAUUAAUUAGAGAAGAGGUUUUCCUUCGAGGGCACCCCUCAGUCUCUAUGAUAAUUUCUUCAUGUCUUCUCCAGGGGACAGGUGGGCCUUGCUUAUAUAGUCCUCCCCUUCUAUGCGUUUUUGGGUCGAUAGGCGAGGUGGUACUAUGUUUUCUUGAUCCAAUAGGUCGGUGGAAUAUCCCGAGCGAAGGAGUCCUGAAUUGACUCCAGCAAGGGGGCGGGCGCCCAGGCUACCAGGGCGGGCGCCCUGGGCCUGGCCCAGCUUCGCCUCCGCUUCGGUCUCGUGGCUUCUGGAGUCUUCUAGAUGAUGUAAAAUUACGCGGUGCGUUGAUAUCUCUAUGUAAUCCCGACAUGUGGGCCUUUCUUCCUUAUUUCCUGAUAACCCCCUGCAGAAAUAGAUAAACAACAAAACUCGUGGAAUUCUGUCAGAUCAAACCCUAAUUCUAGGUGAUGGUUGCAUAUUGGUCCUUUCUCAUGUUUAUUUGAUAAUUAAAAUUGAUACUUAAGAACCGUCAACAAAUACCCCCAUACUUAGGCUUUUACUCGUCCUCGAGAAAAGGAUGGUUAAGAAUAAUAUCUAGGGUAAACAUUUAAAACAUUCUCUUUAUAAUUGCAGGGUGUUAAAAAUUUCACUGUGUACCAUAGUCAGGGAUGUGUAUGGUUAAGUGUAAAGAUUCUUUCUUUUCAAUCCUGUCACUUGGAGUUUUUGUAUAUUUUUGAAAGAAAGUUAGCAUACCUUUUUGAUCCUCAUAGGUUCUCUCAGAUCACUCAUUAUCUUUUAUAUAUAUAUAUCUCACUGAGGCUGUUUUAUUUUGCAAAAAUUCUCAAGCAUACUUACUUUGGAUUUAUUGCCUGAUCAAAACGGGAUCCGAGGAGGGAAAUGUCAUACUCUUAGAUCAAAGACUUUGGAAAUUAAAAACUUUGUCAACUCUUGCUGGCAUAUUGCUUAUUAGAGGGACCAUGGGCUAUCAUUUUUUUUUCUCUUUUUUUUUAAGUGGAUACCGAGGUACCCCUAAUUCUACUGCCGGACACUUGUCCAUUUUUUCUGCGAGGUUGUCGAGCACUUGCUCCUUUUUAUUUCCUCGAAAUAUCUUCUAUUUUUGCAUAGCCCAUGCCUCUAAUGCAAUAAUACUUCGGAAGAGUGAAUCUUUCUGAAAUAAUGUCUUGAUCUUAGGAGCAUGAUAAAUCUCUCAACAAGGGUCUAACUCAUUUUGAACAAACUCAAUACAGAGCAGAUAGCUUUUGUAAUCAUAUUUAAUAUUUCAGUUUUAUCAGGCAUAUAAAACACUGAGGAUGGUAGCUAGGAAUUUGAACAUUUUGAAAUAAAUUCUCCAAGCAACAAUGAUAUCAAGAAUAAGAAACUCAUACUCUACCAUCACAUAUUCCAUCUUGACUUAAGUAACACAGGGUUUUAAAAAAUUAUUUUAUACUAAUUGCAAGUUUUCAGGAAAUAUCACAAAUUGAGAUUAAUCAUGAUUAGAAAUAUUUUAAUCUUUUUAUUUUAUCAUGUCGGGAACAAUAUUCUGCAUAAUCUAAAAUAUAUAUAUGUGUAAAGUAAAGUGUGCAGAGUGUGUACCUGAAUCAUGGAGUGGUGUAGUCGGAGUGUGUUUAGCAUGUCGAGGGAUCUCCCCCAUACUUGUUUUCUGCUUUCUUGCACAAAAAUAAAGUAGAGACACACAAGACAUAAUAAUAAUACUCUUUAUUGAUCUUGAGGCAUUUAUUACACAAGGAAGAACAAAAUUAUUUUUGGCUAUUCUCUCCCGGAUUAGGAGUAGAAUAUUUUUGGGUGAUUCAGAAGAUGGAAAUGUAUGGAUAUAUGUGGAUGGUACUUCCGGAGUAGAAGUAGCAUGUGUGAGUGAACGUGCAAGUGAAUCUUGAUUUAAUGACAAGCUCCUAAGGGUCUAAACAGCUUGACCACACUCAAUGCUCAUAAGCAAUAAGUAAAUGUGUGGCUCGAAGUCUAGCAAGCAUGUAUAUAUGGCUGUGGUAGGAAUUUAAACUCUCAUCAUACAGGAACUCAUCAUGCAACAUUUUAAAGAUUUCCAAAGAUAAAAUUCUCCAGAAUUCUAGCAUCUCUAGAAACAGACAAACAGCAGCUCAACCUUCCCAUAUCGUAUCCAUUAACAACUUAGAUUUCAGAUCAAGUUUUCAUCCCACAAGUUUAGGUCUAGAGCAAGCUUUAAAUUAUAACAGUUAUGUCUAAACUUGAGAGAGAACUUAAAAUGUGCAAAUUAGGUAGAGCAACUAUUCAUUAUUUCCAUGCUUGAGUUUUAUUUAGAUACCGAUUAGCAUAGCCACUUUAUUUAUUAAUUAAACACACUAAGCAAAAGACAUAUAUAUAUAAGCAUAAAAUCUUUAUUUGGUUUUUCAUAGUUAUGUAUAUUUAUAUUCUAAAAUAAUAUAAGUAUAAAGAUAGAUAGAAAUACUUAUCGAGAUAAAUGGGGGUGCUCUCCCCCAAGCUGAAUUUUGACGUAAUUUCUCUUGAUGUAGCUAGCAGGUGGCAGAGGUGUAUUUGAAAGUCAGCAGCAUUGUGACAGCGAUUAGAAUAUCCUCCGUCUGCCAGUCUUCUUGAUUCUUAGAUUCUCUUGGCAAGACGUUCGGUGUUUUUAAGUCCUCCGAACGGGACUCUCCUCUUUCUCAAUUAUCCUGAGGUUCGUUGGGUGGCGUAGUCGGUACUUCCGGCAGCGCCUCCUCUUCAUGUAUAGUUAUCUUCAUUUUCCACACCUGACUUGGUGCUUCGGCCUCCUCUUGGAUAAUUCUGUUUAAACUCAACGUCUUCUGAUCUUACAACUUUUCCUUCGUAGUCUGCCCAUCCGUCCUUGAUGAUUUUCCUCCUCUGGUUGCGGUUGCGUCGUCUUCUUCUUGUCCUGACCUGCUUAGAAUCUUCAACUAUGUAGUUAGAAUCAUUAAAGUAAUGGCGUACCUUCUCAGAGGGGAAAUACACGUGGACUUCUCCGGUUCCAAUGUAGAUGAUAACUUGGAUAGUGUUGAGGAAUGGUCUUCCAAGGAUGAUGGGUGGAUCGUACUCGUCUUCUCCCAUAUCAAUGUUCUGAAAAUCAUUUGGAGCUAAAUAUAUAUUGGUUGUAGGGGCAUGGUUCCAUGCAGGAGCUGAUAAGUGACUGCGGCCAUUAUGUUGACGUUAGAUCCGGUGUCGUAGAGUGUUUUCUAAAAAGAGUAUCUAUUGGUUGUGCACUCGAUGAUUGGAACACCAGGGUCGUCCUUCUUGAUCAAGAAAGGUGACUUGAGUCGACGAUCUUGACCUCCUUGAGCUGUAGUGACCAUCUUAGCUGACUCGGUCCACAUUUGCUUGUUCCUGUUCCUCCUGUUGGUCCUCUUCCUUGGUUCAUGUCGGGAUUGCUCUGAAGUUUAUGUAGUCUUGUUCUUGAAGGAAAGUCUCCUUCUUCCCCUUGAUGUAGAGAUUGAUCUUGGUAGCAUUAGCGUAGAUGACAACUCUGGUGUUUAGGAAUGGCCUCCCUAAGAUGAUGGGUGCCCUCUCCUCAGUACCAGUCUCUACCACCACGAAGUUUGCUGGAGCGUACAAGGUACCAACUUGGACACAGAGGUUCUUUAAUAUUUCCUUUGGGAAACUAAGAGUCUGAUCUCCAUUGUGUUUGUGCUCGUAGAUCCCGGUUCUUCACUUAAUGGAAUCUGGGAGUUGUAAAACGCCUUCACGUUUCUCAAAAUGUGUCCUGCUCAUAGAGACAAGGCAGAGAUCAAGUGCAUGGGCUCUAUUGGUGGAAAACACCAACAGAACCAAAAGUGUAUUUGUUCUUUUCUAACCUUAAGCAUAGUGAGCAAGACAAAGUUGAUGAAUCAUGAGUGUAGCAUUUAAAACAUUUGUUAGAUCAGAUGGCUCAACCUAAUGGAAAGAUAAUCUAUCUAUAUUUAUGUUUUGUUUUUAUCUUCCAAAGAUUGAAUGUGCAACAUAUUAGCUUAUAUGUUUAGGAGCGUGGGAUUACGAAGGUAGUACUAAGAACAAAGAUUAAGGGACUAAACAUGUUGAAUCAGUUAGGUUGGUUAAUUUAGAGUUAUAAAUCAUACAUGUUUGUCUCUUUAUUUAUGUGAAUGCCAGAACCAAGGAGAAACUUAUAAAAGGAUAGUCAAGUACCUUAAGAUGUUACCUUUGAAGAGUGAUGGUACAGUAUCACCUUGAAGCUUUCCUUUCUAGCGGUUGUGCAUCGUGUUUGUGGCUCCCUCCAUGGAUCAUCUCUUAUGAGCUACGUCUUUCUUGUGCAAAUUGUUAAACUUCAUGUGUCACUUUCUUUAUCUCCAUUGUGAGUUUAUCUCAGGACUUCCCAGGUUGAUAUUGAAAGUUUUCCUGCAGGGGUUAGUCGCACAAAAUAUACCAAUGUCUACACAAGCAAUUUUUAGUUCGAUAACCGAACUAGACUCCAUGUCUAAUCAGAUUAAGGAAGGCUGUUUAACCUAAGCACCAUGCUUAAUUUGAAAGCCAAUAGAAGUAUGUGCAGUACUUCCAAACUAACACUUACUAGGAUAAACAAAGGUAGCGUGAUGGCAUUUAUAGAGAUCUACUUAAGUGGAGAUUUCGUAGUGUGAUUAGUAUUUAACAAAUUGAGCAUGUCUCAAAGGUAAGGACAACCAACAUAGCAACAUGGCAAAGGAUGUUUUUAUGUGAAGUACUCCCCUAAGCUUGAAUUUUGCAAAAUUCAAGAUUGGAUGAAUUUAAUUCAAUGUUGCAUGUUGAUUGGUUGGGCAUACCUUGCGCUUGUCAUUCAUCCGGUCUUCUUGCUCCAAUCCUAGAAAGGUUAGUGACAAGAAUACCCGAAGGAAUAUUUCUACAAUUAUCUAUAUGCUCAAUACACAAGGUAAUGUUGCAAGUAAUUUAGAAGUUCUUGUUACGAUCUGAUAAGUGCUUGUUUUAGGACACUAAGCUUGUCCUUGGGAAACCAUCAAUUAACUCGACGAGAUCUGCAAUAUUUAUUAUAAACAUAUGCAUCGACAACCGCUCUUUUAAAGUUUUUAUAAAUAGAAAAGAAAAGAGGGUUGGAGAUCUCAAAUGUGGUGAUAGCACAUGAAUUUUUAAUGCCCUCUAGCCAUUAAUGUUGCUCUUCUCGAUCCUCCUUAUGCAUGGGAUGUCUAGAGAGAUUCAUAGGAUUAUCGGGAGGUUCAAGAGAAAGAGCAUAGUAGAGAUUAUUAGGCUCAAGGAUGGGUUGGAUAGCCGAAUCAUGGGAUUGGAAAGUUUGGAAAUCGGCUAUUGAAACUUCCUCUCCUUGUAUGGGAGAUGAUUCCUUCUCUAUCUCUAUGAUUUUUCUAUGAAGACUAGUACAAGAAGGAUGUCCACGAAUGAAGACAUACCUUCCGUUACUAACUGAUAAAGAAAGAAAGACUCUACCAAAGGUUAUAUGAUUAAGACCAAUGUGAAAAUAUCUAGGAAAAACAUGGUCUUGUAGGGCUAGGUCUAAACCAGAAUUUAUAGAAAAAUUAAAAGAUUCCCUAGGUGUAGCUAAAAGUGCAUUAUCUUUUUGAUUAAAAGAUAGGACCUCAGCUAUAGAAAAGGGUUGGUUUUGACCUAUUGCAAUCAACUCCGGACACAGAUCAUAACUAGGGGCAGGACGUGUUGACUCUCAUGGUCUAUGGCUGGUCUCCGAAGGUGCAAAGAAUUUAAUAAUAGUUAUGGAAUUUAAGAUAUCCAUAAAGAUAAAAAGAUAAAAGAAUAAAAGUAUAAAAGUAUAAUACAAGAUAAUAGCAAGACUCAAAGUUAUCUCAGCAAACCGUCUUUCUCCCCGGCAACGGCGCCAGAAAUGCUUGUUGAUAUUUGGUAACGCAAUAAGGAAAUGAUCCGCAAGCGCACGGAUAUCGGUGAGCAUUUCACCCGGGUGGUUAUCCAGAGUUAUCGUAUUUAUAUUUUUACCACUGGGAGAAAGGGUGCAUCUGACUAACCAAAUCUAUUGCUACUAUCCCUUUAGGCACAAAGAAUGUCUUUCAAUGUGAGUGAUAAAUAGAGAAGACUGCAGCCGUAGUCUCCUUCUAACCUUGGUAAGGAUGAUCUACUGUUCUAAUGGGGAGGCUAACGGAAUCUAGACACCACAAAGGAUGUUCAACCCGCACCUAUAAACCCUAUCCUUCCUGCUAACGAGAUGUGAUCUACAAAGGUAGCUCGGAAAUGUCACGUUCCUCACUACUACCACGGUCCAGCUAGUCAGGGAAUAUCUAUGAGUACCCCAGCCUAAACACCACGUUUACGCCAGCAAUGAUUACUCUAAACUCUACGCGAAGAGAUUAAAGUAAACUCAUAAACCAUAAGAACAAUAAAACAAGAACUUACUAGAAUUUAGAAGUCGAAUUACUGAAGAAUCCUAGGAGCAAGCUUCGGGUUAGGAGAACUUGAUCCCGCAGGUACAAGCUUGGAGUAGACACCGACAGGCCGGGCUUCCUCCACUCUACACCUCCACUCUAUCUCUCUCAAUCUAGUAGAAACUAGAAGAUCUAUUUCUACCUUACAUUGAUUGCUAAGCCUAAAAAGAAAUAUUAAUUAGAGAAGAGGUUUUCCCUCGAGGGCACCCCUCAGUCUCUAUGAUAAUUUCUUCAUGUCUUCUCCAGGGGCCAGGGGGGCCUUGCUUAUAUAGUCCUCCCCUUCUAUGCGUUUUUGGGUCGAUAGGCGAGGUGGUACUAUGUUUUUCUUGAUCCAAUAGGUCGGUGGAAUAUCCCGAGCGAAGGAGUCCUGAAUUGACUCCAGCAGGGGGGCGGGCGCCCAGGCUACCAGGGCGGGCGCCCUGGGCCUGGCCCAGCUUCGCCUCCGCUUCGGUCUCGUGGCUUCUGGAGUCUUCUAGAUGAUGUAAAAUUACGCGGUGCGUUGAUAUCUCUAUGUAAUCCCGACAUGUGGGCCUUUCUUUCUUAUUUCCUGAUAACCCCCUGCAGAAAUAGAUAAACAACAAAACUCGUGGAAUUCUGUCAGAUCAAACCCUAAUUCUAGGUGAUGGUUGCAUAUUGGUCCUUUCUCAUGUUUAUUUGAUAAUUAAAAUUGAUACUUAAGAACCAUCAACAACUACCACCCCGACAAGGUAGUCGCCCCUGGCGUCUACCCGCUCGUCGUCGACCCCAUCAUCGUCAACGCCAGGCUCUCAAAGGUGUUGAUGGACGGCGGCAGCAGCCUCAACAUCAUCUACCUCGAGACCCUCGACCUCCUCAGCAUCAAAAGGUCGCAGCUCCAACCAAGCACUGGAGGCUUCCACGGCGUCGUUCCUGGGAAGAUGGCGUUACAGGUAGGUCGAAUCGACCUACCGGUCUGCUUUGGCAUGGCGGCCAAUUUUAGGAAGGAGAUCCUCACCUUUGAGGUGGUGGGGUUCCGAGGCACAUACCACGCCAUUAUCGGACGCCCUGGCUUCGCCAAAUUCAUGGCGAUUCCCAACUACACGUACCUAAAGCUGAAGAUGCCCGGGCCCAAGGGCGUCAUCACCGUCAGCUCCUCCUACGAGCAAGCGUAAGAGUGCGACGUCGAAUGCGUCGAGUACGGCGAAGCACUCGAGGGUUCCGCCGAGCUCGCCUCAAAGCUCAAGGCCCUGGCUGCAGAGGCCCCAGAGCCCAAACACCAUGCGGGCAGCUUCGAGCUGGCAGAAGGAACCAAGAAGAUCCCGCUCGACCCCAACAACUCCCACGGUAAGGCGCUGACGAUCAGCGCCGACCUCGACCCCAAAUAGGAAGCUGUGCUCGUCGACUUUCUCCGUGCAAACACUGACAUGUUUGCAUGGAGUCCCUCGGACAUGCCUGGCAUACCGAGGGAAGUCGUCAAGCACUCCUUGGAAAUUCGAGCCGGUUCCAAGCCAGUGAAGCAACGGUUGCACCGAUUCGACGAGGAGAAGCGCAAGAUCAUUGGCGAGGAGAUCCAAAAGCUUUUGAUGGCCAGAUUCAUCAAGGAUUUUCACCAUCCCGUCUGGUUAGCAAACCCUGUACUAGUUAAGAAUAAGAAUGGAAAAAUGAGGAUGUGUGUCGAUUAUACAAGUUUAAAUAAAGCAUGUCCGAAAGUUCCUUUUCCAUUACCACGUAUUGAUCAAAUUGUCGAUUCUACUGCGGGAUGUGAAACCCUUUCUUUCCUCGAUGCAUAUUAUGGCUACCACCAAAUAAAAAUGAAAGAGUCCGAUCAGCUCGCGACAUCUUUCAUCACACCUUUCGGGAUGUAUUGUUAUGUAACCAUGCCGUUCGGGCUUCGAAACGCGGGGGCUACGUUCCAGCGAUGCAUGCUCCACGUGUUUGGCAAGCACAUAGGGUCGACGGUUGAAGCCUAUGUCGACGACAUCGUCGUCAUGUCAAAGCAGCGGGGAGACCUGAUCCAGGACCACGAGAUUGCUUUUAGCUGCUUACGCGCCAACCAGAUCAAGCUCAACCCUGAGAAGUGCAUUUUCGUCGUGCCUCGAGGCAUGCUCCUGGGUUACAUCGUUUCCCAGCGCGGCAUCGAGGCCAACCCCGAGAAUGUCUCAGCCAUCACAAGAUGGGGCCGAUCCGAGACAUCAAGGGCAUGUAGGGAGUCACAGGAUGCCUAGCGGCGCUGAGUCGUUUUAUCUCGAGGUUGGGAGAAAAGGCGUUGCCACUGUAUCGACUUCUGAAGAAAGUCGAGCGCUUCUCUUGGACCCCAGAGGCUGAGGAAGCACUCGAUAACUUGAAGAAAACUCUGACCUCUGCACUAGUGCUAGUCCCGCCUCAACCCGCAGAACCUCUGCUUCUAUACGUCGCAUCGACGACCCAGGUCGUCAGUGCAGCAGUAGUGGUCGAGAGGCAGGAGGAGGGGCAUGCACUGCCAGUCCAGAGGCUGGUCUAUUUAUUCAGCGAAGUACUCUCAGAGACCAAGGCGCAUUACCCGCAGAUCUAGAAGCUAAUCUACGCCGUAAUCCUCGCCCGACGCAAGCUGCAGCACUACUUCCUCGGCCACCCUAUCACGGUGCUCUCGUCUUUCCCCUUGGGCGAGAUCAUCCAAAGUCGGGAGGCCACGGGAAGAAUCGCCAAGUGGUCAGUCGAGCUCAUGAGUGUUGACGGUCCUUAAUGCUCAUAUUUAACCAUCAAUUAAUCAUAGAAAAGGAUCCAAAUGCAACCAACACCUAGACUUAGGGUUUUAUCCGACAGAAUUCCACAAGUUUUGGUGUUUGUCUAUUUCUGCAGGGGGUUAUCAGGAAAUACGGAAUAAAGGCCCACACGUCGGGUUUACAUAGAGAUAUUAACGUGCCGCACAAUUUUCUACCAUCUAGAAGACUCCAGAAGCCACGGGAACGAACGGGAGGCCGAUCGGGCUCGGAGGCAGGGCGCCCGCCCAACUCUCCUGGGCGCCCGGCCAGCUACAGUGUCCAAUUCGGACCCGUUUCGCGUAUUAUGCUCCACCGACCUAAAGGAUCAAGGAAAAUCGUGCGAUCAAUGUCGGUUUGAUCCGACGGCCCAGAUUCACUUGAAGGGACUAUAAAACCAGACCCCCUUGGCCCCUGGAGAUCAUACCUCUUCUACAGAAUCAAAGCUAGGGUUUCAAUUCUUCAUCCAAGUAGAGAGGAUCUGAUGCGUCACGUUGUCCCGAUCUUCACGACGUAGGAAGAACAUCGAUAACUAGCUGAAGAACAGCCGGAUAAGUUGCUGCAAGCAGCGAUAACUAGUGCAACCUGGCAAAUAAAACUCGAAGCCAACCACCGUCUUUAACCGGCAACCUGAAUCGAGGAUUCGCCCAACCACACUCUCAAGGAACCAACCAACACAGCCUACAAUCAAUCAAGGAAUACCUUGAAGGGAGUAGGAGCACCAAUUGGGAGCGGAUGAAGCCACCGCCUAUGUAAUCCCGCGAGGAAAUCACAAGAGCAAAGGGGUAGAGAUCACUCUCUGGAUUUGUUAGCACGCAGCUGAACAAAGGGGUUCUGUAUUUCAAUUAUCAAAGUCUUAGAUUACAAUGAGUCUUAGGUGGUAUUUAUACUAGCAACAGCCCUGCUAGAUAGGUAUGAAAACGAAAUAGAGUUUCUGAGGGAAGUCAAUGUGAAAGGUCCGCUCGAAAUGGAUUCCCGAAGUGGCUUCGCGUGACUGUUGGCCUCCAGAGCAGUUUCUAAUAAACUGACCAUAACUUUUUAUUGGGAAGUCCAAAUGAUGAACCGUUUCUUGGGUGUGAAACUAGACUCAAAGGGCUUUCCACCAAUGUAUGCGUACCAGCACGAAACAUUGUAGAUUGGUACAGUUUUACUUGGCAAUUUGUACCAACAUUCUGUCACGACAGACUGUUGACCUUCUGAGCAGUCUGUACUAAUUCUGGUCUGCAGGCAAUAUGGAGUAUCCAAACUGGUCGCCACUAGAUUCAUUGGAAAGUAGACUCGUCAAGCUUUCCAACAAAUGCUCAUGGACCUUCAUAGCUUUUGUGAGCAAAAAGUUAUGAAGAUUCUUUGCACUGGUCCGUUUUUGACUUCCACUGGUCCGUUUUUGACUUCUUCUGGAACUUGCACUGGUCCGUUCUUCAUGGUCCGAUUCUUCCUUCUCUUCUUCUAUAUACCUGAGUACAAUCAAGGUACAACACUUAGGUAGUAUAUAAUUAUCAUUAAUGUUAAAAUGAAUCUCACAAAGUAGCACGUGGACCUCUUGUUGUAGCUUCUUUGCACGACUACGUGUAAUCGGUCCAUCGAUGACUUGAGCUGGUGUCGGUGUAGGUGAAACUUGAGUUGGUGUAGCUUGACUUGGAGCUUGUGACAUCUUGCUUGGUGGCGUGGUCAUAUCAUCCUCCCCCCCUUGAAAAGGAGUCGUCCUCGACUCUAAAGUGUCUUCACUUGUGAAUGGUGAGAGAUCAGCAACAUUGAAUGAGUUGCUCACGCCAUAACUUGCAGGAAGAUCAAUCUUGUAUGCAUUGUCAUUGAUCUUCUCAAGAACACGAAAUGGACCAUCUCCUCGUGGCAGCAAUUUUGAUUUGCGCUGUUGAGGAAAGCGAUCCUUGCGCAAGUGUAUCCACACCAAGUCCCCGGGUUCAAAUAACACCUUCUUCCUAUGUUUGUUCAUACUUGCAACCUUGCGUCCUGCCUUGAGUUCAAUUGCUUCCUUGGUCUUCUCGUGUAUCUUCUUGAUGUAUGCAGCACGCUUGGAGGCUUCCAUAUUGGUUCUUUCCUGCAAUGGAAGGGGCAACAAAUCUAUCAGAGCAAUAGGUUUGAACCCAUAUACAAUUUCAAAAGGACACAUAUUAGUGGUAGAGUGUACUGCCCUGUUAUAUGUAAACUCCACAUGUGGCAAACAUUCCUCCCAAACCUUCAGGUUCUUUUUCAUCAUAGUUCGCAGCAACAUUGACAAUGUGCGAUUCACCACUUCAGUUUGUCCAUCGGUUUGAGGGUGACAAGUGGUGGAGAACAAAAGCUUGGUUCCGAGCUUUGCCCAUAACGUUUUCCAAAAAUAGCUCACAAACUUGACAUCACGAUCAGAUACAAUGGUUCUAGGCAUUCCAUGCAGCCGCACAAUUUCCCUGAAGAACAAAUUAGCAAUAUGCGAAGCAUCGUCGCUCUUGUUACAAGGAAUAAAAUGAGCCAUCUUUGAAAAUCUAUCAACCACAACAUAAAUUGAAUCUUUUCCUUUCUGAGUUCUAGGCAACCCCAAGACAAAAUCCAUGCUUAUGUCUUCCCAAGGAGUUUUAGGAGUAGGUAAAGGAGUAUAUAAACCAUGAGGGUUCAGUUUAGACUUAGCUUUGUGACAGGUAACGCAUCGCUCCAUGAAUCUGAUGACAUCUCUUCUCAUCUUGGGCCAAUAAAAAUGAUCUUCUAGCAGCUCAUAGGUUUUUCUUUGUCCAAAAUGGCCUGUCAAUCCUCCCCCAUGAGACUCCUGCAACAAAAGCAAUCUAACCGAAGAAUUUGGAACACAGAUUUUGUUAGCUCUAAACAAAAAUCCAUCAUGUAUAUGAUACUUUUCCCAACCUUUUCUAUUUUUACAAUGAUUAUAUGGUUCUGAAAAUUCAGGGUCAUUACUGUACAGUUCUUUCAAACUUUCAAGUCCCAAAACCUUUACCUCAAGUUGGUUUAGCAACACACUCUUUCGUGACAGAGCAUCAGCAACAACAUUAUCCUUACCUUUCUUAUAUUUCACAAUGUAUGGAAAUGUUUCGAUGAACUCAACCCAUUUGGCAUGACGACGGUUCAGUUUUGCUUGUCCUUUCAAGUACUUCAAAGCUUCAUGAUCAGAGUGAAUAACAAAUUCUUUUGGCCAUAAGUAGUGCUGCCAUGUUUCAAGCACACGCACCAAAGCAUAUAAUUCUUUAUCAUACACAGAAUAAUUCAGUUGAGCACCUCCUAGUUUUUCACUAAAAUAUGCUACAGGUUUUCCUUGUUGCAUUAAAACUCCUCCUAUCCCAAUUCCACUAGCAUCACAUUCUAUUUCAAAAGUUUUAGUGAAAUCAGGAAGAACAAGUACAGGUGCUUCAGUCAAACGUUUCUUUAAUUCUUGAAAUGCAUUUUGUUGUGAUUUUUCCCAUUUAAAGUCAACACCUUUCUUUGUCAAUUCAUUCAAAGGAGCAGCGAUGGUACUGAAAUCUCUCACAAACCUUCUAUAAAAACCAGUAAGGCCAUGAAAACUUCUUACUUGACUUACAUUUGUUGGAGUUGGCCAAUCCUUGAUGGCUUUCACCUUGCUUUCAUCCACUUCUAUGCCCUUUCCUGAUACAACAAAGCCAAGAAACACAACAUGGUCUGUGCAAAAACUGCACUUCUCAAGAUUAGCAAAUAAUUUCUCCUUUCUAAGCUCUUCCAAGACUUGCCGAAUAUGAUUCACAUGUUCCUCAAAAGACUUGCUGUAAGUUAAGAUAUCAUCGAAGUAGACAACAACAAAUUUUCCAAUGAAAGCUCUCAAGACAUGGUUCAUUAAUCUCAUGAAGGUACUAGGAGCAUUAGUCAAACCAAAAGGCAUAACUAACCAUUCAUACAGCCCAAAUUUUGUUUUAAAUGCAGUUUUCCAUUCAUCCCCUGUUUUCAUUCUUAUUUGAUGGUAUCCACUUCUCAAAUCAAUUUUAGUGAAUAUGUUGGAACCACUUAAUUCAUCAAGCAUGUCAUCUAAACGUGGGAUAGGAUGGCGAUAGCGAACAGUGAUGUUAUUUAUAGCUCUACAAUCAACACACAUUCUCCAAGAACCAUCUUUCUUAGGUACUGAAAUUACAGGAACAGCACAAGGACUUAAACUUUCACGAACAAAACCUUUAUCAAGAAGUUCUUGCACUUGCCUUUAUAUCUCCUUUGUUUCUUCUGGAUUGGUUCGGUAUGGUGGUCGAUUAGGUAGUGCAGCCCCUGGAAUGAGAUCAAUUUGAUGCUCAAUCCCACGAAUUGGAGGUAGUCCCGCCGGUGUUUCUUCUGGAAAAACAUCUCCAUAGUCCUGCAAAAGAUGAGACACAACACUAGGAAGAGAGGUCAUGUCGUUAGCUGAAAUUAAAAUGUCUUUGUAUACAAGUACAAAGAGCACUUGUUCGGGGUUGUUCCUCACUUCUCUCAUUUCAGAUUUUGUGGCUAGCAUGACUAAAUUCUCUCCCUCUCCUUUCUUUUUCUCCCUCAAAUUUGGCUUGUGGCACUCACUCACCGAAUUGUGGAUGGCACUCAGUUUCUUUUGCUCUCCUUCCUCUCUACUCACUCGAACAAUUUCAGAUUUCUUUUGUAAAUGUUCAGCCAUGAUUUGUUGGGGUGUCAUAGGCUUGAGAACAAACUUCUUUCCCGUUAGAUUGAUAGUAAACUGAUUUGUUCUCCCACAAUGUUGGCUAUAUCGAUCAUAUUGCCAUGGCCUUCCAAGCAGCAAGUGACACACCGACAUGGGCGCCACAUCACACUCUACUGUGUCAACAUAUUCACCAAUCUUGAAUGGAAUGUUUACUUUAUAUCCAAUCUUGAUAUCUCCCGAAUCAUUCAGCCACUGUAUAUGAUAUGGAUGAGGGUGUCGUAGCAGCUUCAGGCCAAGUUUAUCAGCCAUCUCACGACUAGCAAGAUUAUGGCAGCUCCCUCCAUCAAUAAUCACCUUCACCACCUUAUCAUGUACCUUUGCUCUGGUUUCAAAUAAAUUAUGUCGCUGCCCAUUUUCAGCUUCUUUCAUUUGAACACUCAAGAUUUGAGUCACCACAAGAGCAGCACCAUGCUCAAAUUCACAGCCAGUAUGUUCCUCAUCUUCAUGGGCUUCACCAACAUGUUCUUCCUCAGCUUCCUCUUCACUAGCUGAUUCUAAUUCUCCACUAUCAUUCACAAUGACCACACGAUUAUUUGGACACUCUCUUGAUACAUGUCCACAGCCUCCACACUUGAAGCACUGAAUUCCACUACUCUUGGAAGUGGAACCCACUGAAGUAGUGUUUGAUGCUGCUGGUUUUGAACUUGGGACAGCAGUGUUCUUUCCACUAAAAGUACCCUGAAAAUUAGAUCGUGAGCCUCCACUUGAGCCUUUCACCAGGGAUGGUUCAGCAGAAAACUUGGUGAUUGAUUUGCUUCCUCCAGAGAUGUUCCUCAUACCAAAGGACAAGGACUUGCUGCUCUUAGCUUCUUGCUGCAAUUGACGUUAAGCUUUGGUUGCUUGAUGUACCAAAUCAAUAAGAUAUCGGUAUGGCUGAAACUCAACAAUGCGCUGAAUAUUGCGAUGCAGCCCAGCCAUAAAACGUGCAAUAGUUUGCUCUUCAUCUUUAUACACAUUGGCUCUAAUCAUAGAUUUCUCCAUCUCCUUAUAAUACUCUUCAACAGAGAGACUUCCUUGCUUCAAAUUCUGCAAUUUAUCAAAAAGAUCACGCCGAUAGUGCUUCGGCACAAAACGACUUCUCAUUUCUCUCUUCAUUUCAUCCCAAGUUGCAAUAGGAUGUCUUCCAUCUUCUUCAUGAUCACUGAGGAGCUGCUCCCACCAUAUUAGAGCAUAUCCUUCAAACUCCAGAGAUGCCAUUGCCAGCUUCUCUUCUGAAUAAUUAUGCAAGCGAAAGAUUUUAUCCACUUUCAGCUCCCAAGUGAAAUAAGCUUCAGGAUCAGACCCACCAUCAAACUUUGGCAUGGUAAACUUCAGUUUUCCUAGCCUCUCCUCAUGAUUGCCUCUUCUACGAUGUCGACGACCAUAUCGAUAUUGAGAAUGAUCAUCAUCAUCCUCUUUUUCAGAUUCUUCAUUAUCAUGAUUUCUUCGACCUUGACCUCUUCCCCUACCUCGGUUCUUCCUUCCUUGUUCCCCUGAGCUUCUACUAGCAGCACUUCUAUCACUCAUAUCUCCAUCUUCACCAUGGUUGCUUGCUCCAUCAUGAGGUUGGCGACGCCUUCUGAUUUCAGUCAUAAGGUUCUGAAGAUCUUGUGUCAACCUAUCUUGCUUUUCUUCUAUGCUUUGUCGGAGUUCAUUAAAUUGUGCCAAAGUGACACAAUCCUCUAUUCCAUCACCCAUCUUCCUGUAAGGUUAGCUGAAUACAAAUAAUUUGUAUUUGUGGAAUAUGAAAAUUUGGUGGCCCUCACAACUCACCUCUCUAACCACCAAGGCUCUUAUGAAUUCCUCUGCUGCAGAUUACAAUGAAAACAAAUGUGUGGUGGCAACUGAAAAUGAUGGCGAGGCGAAUACAAGAACAGAGAGUACCGAUUACGAUGGUUUUUUUAUGUGGAGCUUGGUGGGGAGUAAUACACAAGGAAUGCAAUCUGAAUUCUAGUUGUUGUAAAGUUAAGUAACGAUCCAAACUAGAAGUUCUCUGCCUAGUGCUGAUCAAAAGAUUCGAAGUGUAUAAAUAGAUCACACACAAGCAAAGAAAUUUCAGAACUGAUGCAAACAAGGAGUAUGAUUGGGAUGCAAGUGUUGCAAUCAGACCCAACCAAAGUUUUGCACCAAACAAAGAUAGCAAACUAGUUGUAGAACUUGAUAUGAAACUUUCAGCACUUGUGCACAUAAACCAACUAAUCUUUCAGACUUUCUCUCUGAACCUUUCUCAACUUUUUUUUCACUUCACUUUUUUUUUGCACUUUCUUUUCUUUUUUUUGACACACUUUUUUUAUAUAUAUAGAACUAAAAACAGGGAUCAGAUUAUGAUACUUGCACAACUAAAGACAGAAAUAAAACAACAACCAGUAGCUAGAUAUGAUCAAAGUUAACACAAAGGAUGAUAUAGGCUAUAGAGAUUUUUUUUUGUGGGGAUUUUUAGAUAUAAAAGAGGCACAAAGAACACGCAAAGGAUAUGAUGAUCAGCAACUAUAACAAAGACUCUAAUGGACUGCGACUUAACCGAACUCACUAAAAUAACAGAUUGAAACAAAGGUCUAAGCAAUAUAUUUUUCUGGCUUUUUGGUGGGUAGGACGAAGCAAAAUAUAUAUGUAGCUAGGGAUAAAAUUCCUACCGUGGUAACGAAAGCUUUGAUACCAGAUGAUGCGUCAUGUUGUCCCGAUCUUCACGACGUAGGAAGAACAUCGAUAACUAGCUGAAGAACAGCCGGAUAACUUGCUGCAAGCAGCGAUAACUAGUGCAACCUGGCAAAUAAAACUCGAAGCCAACCACCGUCUUUAACCGGCAACCUGAAUCGAGGAUUCGUCCAACCACACUCUCAAGGAACCAACCAACACAGCCUACAAUCAAUCAAGGAAUACCUUGAAGGGAGUAGGAGCACCAAUUGGGAGCGGAUGAAGCCGCCGCCUAUGUAAUCCCGCGAGGAAAUCACAAGAGCAAAGGGGUAGAGAUCACUCUCUGGAUUUGUUAGCACGCAGCUGAACAAAGGGGUUCUGUAUUUCAAUUAUCAAAGUCUUAGAUUACAAUGAGUCUUAGGUGGUAUUUAUACUAGCAACAGCCCUGCUAGAUAGGUAUGAAAACGAAAUAGAGUUUCUGAGGGAAGUCAAUGUGAAAGGUCCCCUCGAAAUGGAUUCCCGAAGUGGCUUCGCGUGACUGUUGGUCUCCAGAGCAGUUUCUAAUAAACUGACCAUAACUUUUUAUUGGGAAGUCCAAAUGAUGAACCGUUUCUUGGGUGUGAAACUAGACUCAAAGGGCUUUCCAGCAAUGUAUGCCAACCAGCACGAAACUUUGUAGAUUGAUACAGUUUUACUUGGCAAGUUGUACCAACAUUCUGUCCCCACAGACUGUUGACCUUCUGAGCAGUCUGUACUAAUUCUGGUCUGCAGGCAAUAUGGAGUAUCCAAACUGGUCGCCACUAGAUUCAUUGGAAAGUAGACUCGUCAAGCUUUCCAACAAAUGCUCAUGGACCUUCAUAGCUUUUGUGAGUAAAAAGUUAUGAAGAUUCUUUGCACUGGUCCGUUUUUGACUUCCACUGGUCCGUUUUUGACUUCUUCUGGAACUUGCACUGGUCCGUUCUUCAUGGUCCGAUUCUUCCUUCUCUUCUUCUAUAUACCUGAGUACAAUCAAGGUACAACACUUAGGUAGUAUAUAAUUAUCAUUAAUGUUAAAAUGAAUCUCACAAAGUAGCGCGUGGACCUCUUGUUGUAGCUUCUUUGCACGACUACGUGUAAUCGGUCCAUCGAUGACUUGAGCUGGUGUCGGUGUAGGUGAAACUUGAGUUGGUGUAGCUUGACUUGGAGCUUGUGACAUCUUGCUUGGUGGCGUGGUCAUAUCAGGAUCCCUCUAGUUCUUCUAGUUCUACCUCUAGUUCAUCUAGAUCUAGUUCUAGUUCAUCUAGUUCUAGUUCUAGUUCCUCUAGUUCUAGUUCUAGUUAGUUCUAGUUGUAAUCUAGAAAAUAGGGAGAGCGAAGAGGAGAGCGGAGGAGGAGCCGGAUCUGUCGGAUACAUUGUACUUUUGCAGCAACUGGUUCGUUCUUCAUCGUUCUCCAGGUUCUUCAAUUCAUAAUUCCUGAGUUCUUUAAUUACUUUUAUUUACAUUCAAGUUAUUUAUUGGAUUCCCGCUUGCAUCAAGUGCUCUAGUCUUUAUAACGCUAGAGUAGUAAUUAAUAGAUUAGACGUGGUGUUUAGUCUUGCGAUUACCUGGAAUUGCACCCAAUCCCACGGAUUGUUGUGGUAGCCCUAGGGUAGUGACAGCCCUAACGGUCGACGUAUUCCACCACGUUCGGAUCGGUGUUUGUAGGACCGUAGUCAGACCUUCCUAGCCCCCUUCUCAUCUCUUUCUGUGGUUAGUGCUCUGAUGUCCCGAUAUAGAUAAUCUUGAAGUAAUUCUUGAUUCUUAGAUCAACUAGAGAACUCUCAGGAAACUUCCUCUCUUCCCACCAAAAAUAAUUAUAUAGUUAUCCUUGGGCGAUCUUGGAUCUUAAUUAGUACACUCAUGUUCUCUGUGGAAAAUCGAUACUCUGGAAUACUCCCGGGUGAAAGCUACAUCGGUAUCCGUGCGCUUGCGGAUUUUUCUGUUUGCGUUUAAAAUACCCAACAAGCUUUCUGGCGCCGUUGCCGGGGAACGGUAGCUGUGCUAGUUUCGAACCAAGUCGUCCGUGUAUCCUUUUAUUUUCCUUUUUUUUACCACACUCACCUUACUAUUUUCACCAUACCACAUGGAUUUCACUCUAAGCAUUAAUAAGCAUGGAAUUUAUUUCAUAGCCACUUCAUUUACUCCAUGCUCAUAUGCAACAUCUUCACAAUCCAUUGGUCUUUCCAACAUCACCACAUUCGAGAUCUCCAACCCCCUCAUCCUUUCUAUUUAUAAAAACUUUAAAAGGGCGGUUGUCGAUGCAUAUGUCUAUAAGAAAUAUUGCAGAUCUCGUUGAGUUGAUCUUGAUAUAGGUCAGCGUUGGAGGGGAAACCACUUCACCGACAUAAAUUGAUGGUUUCCCAAGGACAAGCUUAGAGUCCUAAAACAAGCACUGAUCAGAUCAUAACUUGAGCUUUUAAUUAUUUGUAUCAUUACCUUGUGUAUUGAGCAUAUAAGGAUAAUUGUAAAAAUAUUCCUUCGGGUAUUCUUGUCACUAACCUUUCCAGGAUUGGAGCAAGAAGAUCGAAUGAAUGACAAGCACAAGGUAUGUCCAACCAAUCAUCAUACAACAUUGAAUUGAAUUCAUCCAAACUUGAAUUUUGCAAAAUUCAAGCUUGGGGGAGUACUUUACAUUAAAACAUCCUUUGCCAUGUUGUUAUGUUGGUUGUCACUACCUUUGAGACAUGCUCAAUUUGUUAAAUACUAAUCACGCUACUUCAUCUCCACUUGAGUAGAUCUCUAUAAAUGCUCUCAUGCUACCUUUAUUUGCUUUAGUAUAUGUUUAGGUUUGGAGUAGUUUCAUUUAUCUCUUAAUUAAGCAUGGUGCUUAGUUUAGGGCUGAUGAUCUUACUUCCAAGGGUUUUUAAAUCAAGCUUGGUGCUUAGGUUAAAAUGCCCUCCUAAAUCAAAUUAGACAUGGUGUCUAGGUUGAUCUUUGAGCCGAUAGUAUGCUAUAGUAGAUAUUGGAUAUUUUGUUGGACUAACCCCUGCAGGAAAACUUUUAAUAUCGACCUGGGAAGUCCUGAGAUAAACUCACAUUGGAGACAAAGAGAGAGGCACAUGAAGUUUAAUAAUUUACACAAGGAAGGCAUAGCUCACAAGAGAUGAUCCAUGGAGGUGCCACAAACACGAUGCACAACCGCUAAGAGAGGAAAGCUUCCACAAGGUGAUACUGUACCACCAUUCUUCAAGUAAGGUAACAUUUUAAGGUACUUGACUAUCACUUCUAUAAGCUUUUCCUUGGUUCUGGCAUUCCAUGAAUAAAAGAGACAAACAUGUAUGAUUUACAACUCUAGAUUAACCAACCCAAUCGAUUCAACAUGUUUAGUCCUUCCACCUUUGUGAUCCCAUACUCCUAAUAUGAGCUAAAAUGUUGCACAUGCAAUCUUUGGAAGAUAUAUAAAAAGAAGAUAAGUAUAGAUAGAUUAUCUUUCCAUUAGGUUGAGUAAUCUGAUCUGACGAAUGUUUUAAAUGCUACACUCAUGAUCUUAUUAUCCAUCAACUUUGUUUUGCUCACUAUGCUUAAGGAUAGAGAAGAAUAAAUACACUUUUGGUUCUGUUGGUGUUUUUCACCAACAGGGCCCAUGCACUUGAUCUCUGCCUUGUCUCUAUGAGCAGGUACACUUUGAGCAAAAUAUGAAGGACUUUUACAACUCCUAGACUCCACAAAGUGAAGAACCUAGAUCUACAAGCACAAACACACUGGAGAUACUGGACACUCAUGCAAACACUGCCCUGAGAUGCUUGAGGAUGUAACUACUGGAGUAACCCCGUUGUGGAAGUAAUUACUGACCUUCUGCCGGUCAAGAGAGACAAUCUAGGAGGCCCCGUCAUCCCAAUCUCCAUCGGCAUGGUGGACUUCCUAGAAGCACUCUGUGACUUUGGCUCCAGCGUCAACUUUAUACCUAGGGGAAGCCAUUCCUGAACACCUCGGGAGCUGUCAUCUACGCUAGUGCUGCCAAGAUCAGUUUCUACAUCAAGGGGAAGAAGGAGAUGUUUUCCUUCAAGAAACAAGGCUACACAAAUCCCAGAGCAAUCCCGACAUGAACCAAGGAAGAGGACCAACAGGAGGAACAAGAACAAGCAAAUGUGUACCGAGUCAGCUAAGAUGGUCACUGCAGCUCAAGGAGGUCAAGAUCGUCAACUCAAAUCACCUUUCUUGAUCAAGAAGGACGACCCUGGUGUCCCAAGCAUCGAGUGCACAAUCAAUAGAUAUUCUUUUCAGAAGACACUCUACGACACCGGAUCUAACGUCAACAUAAUGGCCGCAGUCACUUAUCAGCUCCUGUAUGGAACCAUGUCCCUACAACCAACAUACAUUCAGCUUCAGAUGGCAGAUCAGACAUUCUGAAAGAUUGAAGGUUAUUGACAUGGGAGAAGACGAGUACGAUCCACCCAUCAUCAUUGGAAGACCGUUCUUUAGCACCAUUAAAGCAAUCAUAUACAUUGGAACCAGAGAAGUCCACAUGCACUUCCCCUCUGAGAAGGUACGCCGCUGUUUUACUGACCCUAACUAUAUAGUUGAAGACUCUAAGCAGGUCAGGACAAGAAGAAGACGACGCAACCGCAACCAGAGGAGGCAAAUUUCAAGGACGGAUGGGCAGACUAUGAAGGAGAAGUAGUAAGGUCUGAAGACAUACAGCUUGAACAGAAUUUUCCUGAGGAGACCGUAGCACCGAGUCAAGUGUGGACAGAGAAAAUAGUUAUACAUGAAGAGUACGCGCCGCCGGAACCACCGACUACGCCAUCCAGCGAAUUCCAGGAUGAUUGAGAAAACGGAGAAUCCUGUUCGGAGGACUUAAAGACACCAAACGCCUUGCCAAGAGGUAAACUUGGUAGUUAUCUUUUUUCUUUCAACUAUUUAAAAUAGUUUUCUUAGUUAAUUAGGUUCAUAUCAUCUUGAAAAGAAAAUAAAAAUGUAAAAAUAGUAAGGCCCAUGUGAGUAUGCUCAUGGCAUAAAACGCAUAAGUACAUUCACUGUGGUGGCAUAAAAAUAAAAUAAAUAUAUUCCUAUCCUAUAAAAAUAAAAUUAUAAAAAUAAAUUUAUGAUCCUACUGAAGAGAGUAACAUUUAUUGAGGAGGCUCAACAUGAUAAAGGCUAGAUACUUAUGCUAACACUUAACUAGUUCCACAAAGCUUUGUUGUCUAUUUGAGCUCCACAGAAUUCAAGGAUCAAAGAAGACUAGCAGACGGAGGACAUCCUAAUCGCUGUCAGGGUGCUGCCACAUUCAAAUACACCUCCGCCACCUGCUAGCUACAUCAGAAGGAAUUACGUCAAAACCCAGCUUGGGGGAGAGCAACCCCAUUUAUCCAGCUAAGUACUCUACUCAUGUUUAUACUUUACUUAAAUAAUAAAAAAGAUGCACAAUCAUAAAAACCCAAAUAAAGAUUUUGUGCUUAUAUAUAUAUAUUUGCUUAGUUUGCUAAAUAAAUAAAUAAAUAAAAUUUGCUAUGAACCCUCAUGAUAAGCUCUCACAUGGAAAGAUGAAUAGUUGCUCUGCCAUGACUGUUAUUAAUUAAGAUUUGCUCUAAACCUGAACUUGUGGGGAGAGUACUUCAUCUAAAGUCUAAGUCGUUAACGGAUACGAUAUGGGAAGGUUGAGCUGUUGUUUAUCUGUUCCUAGAGAUGCUAGAAUUCUGGAGAAUUUUAUCUUUGAAAAUCUUUAAAAUGUUACAUGAUGAGUUCCUGUAUGAUGAGAGUUUAAAUUCCUACCACAGCCAUAUAUACAUGCUUGCUAGACUUUGAGCCACACAUUUACUUUUUACUACUUAUGAGCAUUGAGUGUGGUCAAGCUGUGUAGACCCUUAGGAGCUUGUCAUGUGGUUAAAUCAAGAUUCACUUGCACGUUCACUCACACAUGCUACUUCUACUCCAGAAGUACCAUCCACAUAUAUAUAUCCAUUUCCAUCUCUAGAACCACCCAAAAAUAUUCUACUCCUAAUCCGGGAGAGAAUAGCCAAAAAUAUUCCUGUUUUUCCCUGUGAAAUAAAUGCUCAAGUUAUCUUGUUACUACCACUUGCUAUAUUAUCUCAUGAGAUGAGUGCUCUAAAAAAAAGAAAAAAAUAUAUAUAUAUAUACGAGGAAAUAAAAAGGGGCAAGUGCCCGGAACCUCGAAGAAAAGAAAAAGUGAGACGAGAGGUAAAAAAGGACAAGUGUCCGAUAGUAGAAUUAGGGGUACAAGAUACCCACCUGAGAGAAAAGAAAAAAAGAAAAUAUAGAGCAUCUCAUUCUCCUUAAAAAGUUUCAAAAGUGCAAGAAAGGUAUGUAUCCCCUCAAAAGAGCAAAGUAGAAUUAGACUUUCACCAUUGUUAUCACCAUCAUCACCAUACACCAUUCAUUCGCCACACAUGCACAUCUUGAUUUGACUUAUUGACUUGUUCUUUUGGAUCCAUGGUUUGACUAUGCAAUAAAUGUCUUGUAAGUAUGUAUUAGUUGUCUCCCACCUAUGAGCUCCAGAUAUCAAAAACCUUAUUAGAGUAGGGUGAGAGAGAAGGCAAUGCCACUAUGCCUUAUACCACAAAUACCACAUACUUUGAGAGAAGGCAUAUACCAAUACUGCCUUGGUAAGGAUCCAGAAAUACUACAAAAGAGAGACUAGAGAGAGUCAUACAAGGAAUCUCUGAGUUUUAUUUGAAAAUCUGCAAAAACUCCAGAGCUAUAGCUGAUCAAGAAUAAGAGACAUGGUGCUUGACUAGACCGUUCUAUCUUUUAACUACUUAAGAUAGAAGUGAUGGUUACAAGUCCCAUGGUGAAAGGUAAAUGAGUAAGUUUUAAGUCUUAACAGUUUACUCUAACCAGAGAUGAGAUCUUGUUUAAACGCAUGUGUAUCUUUAAGUUAUGAAACCACUGCAGAAACUCUUGAGUCAAUCUUUGCUCAGGGACGAGCAAAGGUUAAGCUUGGGGGAGCUUGUUGACGGUCCUUAAUGCUCAUAUUUAACCAUCAAUUAAUCAUAGAAAAGGAUCCAAAUGCCACCAACACCUAGACUUAGGGUUUUAUCCGACAGAAUUCCACAAGUUUUGGUGUUUGUCUAUUUCUGCAGGGGGUUAUCAGGAAAUACGGAAGAAAGGCCCACACAUCGGGUUUACAUAGAGAUAUUAACGUGCCGCGCAAUUUUCUACCAUCUAGAAGACUCCAGAAGCCACGGGAACGAACGGGAGGCCGAUCGGGCUCGGAGGCAGGGCGCCCGCCCAACUCUCCUGGGCGCCCGCCCAGCUACAGUGUCCAAUUCGGACCCGUUUCGCGUAUUAUGCACCACCGACCUAAAGGAUCAAGGAAAACCGUGCGAUCAAUGUCGGUUUGAUCCAACGGCCCAGAUUCACUUGAAGGGACUAUAAAACCAGACCCCCCUGGCCCCUGGAGAUCAUACCUCUUCUACAGAAUCAAAGCUAGGGUUUCAAUUCUUCAUCCAAGUAGAGAGGAUCCCUCUAGUUCUUCUAGUUCUACCUCUAGUUCAUCUAGAUCUAGUUCUAGUUCAUCUAGUUCUAGUUCUAGUUCCUCUAGUUCUAGUUCUAGUUAGUUCUAGUUGUAAUCUAGAAAAUAGGGAGAGAGAAGAGGAGAGCGGAGGAGGAGCCGGAUCUGUCGGAUCUUCCUCAACAUUGUACUUUUGCAGCAACUGGUUCGUUCUUCAUCGUUCUCCAGGUUCUUCCAUUCAUAAUUCCUGAGUUCUAUAAUUACUUUUAUUUACAUUCAAGUUAUUUAUUGGAUUCCCGCUUGCAUCAAGUGCUCUAGUCUUUAUAACGCUAGAGUAGUAAUUAAUAGAUUAGACGUAGAGUUUAGUCUUGCGAUUACCUGGAAUUGCACCCAAUCCCACGGAUUGUUGUGGUAGCCCUAGGGUAGUGACAGCCCUAACGGUCGACGUAUUCCACCACGUUCGGAUCGGUGUUUGUAGGACCGUAGUCAGACCUUCCUAGCCCCCUUCUCAUCUCUUUCUGUGGUUAGUGCUCUGAUGUCCCGAUAUAGAUAAUCUUGAAGUAAUUCUUGAUUCUUAGAUCAACCAGAGAACUCUCAGGAAACUUCCUCUCUUCCCACCAAAAAUAAUUAUAUAGUUAUCCUUGGGCGAUCUUGGAUCUUAAUUAGUACACUCACGUUCUCUGUGGAAAAUCGAUACUCUGGAAUACUCCCGGGUGAAAGCUACAUCGGUAUCCGUGCGCUUGCGGAUUUUUCUGUUUGCGUUUAAAAUACCCAACAAUGAGUGAGACUCUCACUUACGCGCCCCGCAAAGCUAUCAAAUCACAGGCCUUGGUGGAUUUCGUCGCAGAAUGGACAGACUCCCAGCUCCCCCCGGCUCAGGUCCAGGCAGAGCUGUGGACGAUGUACUUUGGCGGGUCUCUCAUGAAGACAGGAGCUGGGGCGAGCCUGCUAUUCAUCUCGCCCCCGGGCGUUCAUAUGAGGUACGUCAUCAGGAUACAUUUUGCCGCAUCCAACAAUGUUGCAGAGUACGAGGCGCUUAUCAAUGGUCUGAAGAUCGCCAUCGAGCUGGGAGUCCGAUGCCUCGACGUUCGAGGCGACUCCCAGCUCGUCAUCGACCAAGUGAUGAAGACCUCGAGCUGCCACGAGCCGAAAAUGGAGGCGUACUGCAAGGAGGUCCGUCGGCUCGAGGACAAGUUCCACGGCCUCGAGCUCGUCCACGUCGCUCGACGCUACAAUGAGGCGGCCGACGAACUCGCCAAGAUCGCGUCGACUCGAGGCACGGUGCCACCUGACGCGUUCCCAAGAGAUCUACACGAGCCAUCCAUCGACUUGGGCUUGGGGGCUAGUGUCAAGACCGCUCCUGCCCGACAAGCCGAUGCCGUCGAAGUGCUGCUAAUUGCAGCCGAGGUGACGGAGUCGGAACAGCGCCCCAGUCGACCAUUUGACUGGCGCACGCCAUUCCUCGACUACCUGAUCUGCUGUGAGCUGCCAGAAGAUCGAUCCGAGGCCCGCCGUAUCGCUCGACGGGCCAAGUCAUAUGUAAUCUAUGGCGAGGACAAUGAGCUAUAUCACCAAAGCCCGACGGGGGUCUUGCAGCGUUGUAUCACCGUGGAAGAAGGCCGAAAACUCCUCGAGGAUCUACACUCGGGGGCUUGUGGCCACCAUGCUGCUCCUCGGACCCUCGUAGGGAACGCCUUCCGACAAGGCUUCUACUGGCCAACGGCCAUAGCUGAUGCCAUCGAGCUCGUACGCUCAUGCCAUGGGUGCCAAUUCUACGCCAAACAGACGCACCUGCCUGCCCACGCUCUCCAAAUGAUCCCUAUCACAUGGCCAUUUGCGUUUUGGGGGCUCGACUUAGUAGGGCCUCUACAAAAGGCAAAAGGGGGGUACACCCACUUGUUAGUGGCCAUCGACAAAUUCUCCAAAUGGAUCGAGGCUUGACCCAUCACCAACAUCCGCUCCGAGCAGGCCGUCCUUUUCUUCACCGACAUCAUCCACCAGUUUGGGAUUCCCAACGUCAUCAUCACCGACAACGACACUCAGUUCACCGGCAAAAAGUUCUUGGACUUCUGCGAUCAGCAUCACAUCCGUGUGAACUGGUCUGCAGUGGCCCACCCUCGAACUAACGGCCAGGUUGAGCAUGCCAACGGCAUGAUUUUGCAGGGGCUCAAACCAAGGAUUUAUAAUCGCUUGAAGAAAUUCAGCAAGAAAUGGGUCGAGGAGCUUUCCUCGGUCCUAUGGAGCUUAAGGACGAUGCCGAGCAGGGCCACAAAAUACACCCCAUUCUUCAUGGUCUAUGGCUCUGAGGCUGUGCUCCCAACGGACCUCGAGUAUGGGUCCCCUCGACUCAAAGCAUACAACGAGCAAUCAAAUAAAGAGACUCAAAAGAACGCGGUCGACCAACUCGAGGAAUCUCGAGACAUGGCCCUUCUCAACUCUGCCAGAUACCAGCAGAAACUUCGACGCUACCACGACAAGCACGUGCGCAAGAGGGACUUGAACGUGGGCGACCUCAUCCUACGACGGUAGCAAAGCAAUCAAGGACGCCACAAGCUGACUCCACCUUGGGAGGGCCCAUACGUAGUGGCCGAGGUCUUGAAGCCGGGGACAUACAAGCUCGCGGACAAAAAGGGGGCGAUCUUCACCAACGCGUGGAACAUCGAACAGCUACCUCGAUUCUACCCCUAGAAUUUCAAAGCUUUAUGUUCCCAUGUACGUUCUGUACCAAGGCCUUGUAUACGAGCGCAUGAAUAAAUAAGGUUUUUCCCUCGAGCAAUUUACUUUUUUCAAGAAUCAAAAUCUCGACGUUAGAAGGGAGUACCAACUAUGACCCAUCAUAGUCGAUACCCCCUCGGGGGCUAGCAAGGGGGUAAUACCCCCCCAAGUGCCGAAAAAAACCAAGUAACCCUUUCGUUCCUAUCAGUGAUCCCAUACGGUCGAGUAGUAAAGGCACCUCAAGCCCCUUAAGGAUCGAGAGACGACGAGCCUGAGAACUCCUACGCCCCCGGGCUAAGGAAACUCUAGUCGCUUCCUCACCCUUGAGGCAAUCGAGAUCGCCUUAAACAAAAGAGCAAACGAGGAACACAAACAUAAGCGCAAGGGGAAAUAAAGGAGCCUCGAGCGGAAAGACAGAUAAACAUUUGACAACCACUUAAAGACAUUGUAUUACUUAAAGACAAGUUAACAGAGUACUAUACAAGGGGCCCCAGGCACCCAGAGCAGGCUCGCAGGCAUUAGUCCGCAUCACGGUCCUCACCACCCUCGCCUGCGCCUGAGCUAGUCUCAGGGGGAAGUACCUCGGGCUCAAAUAGCUUGGUCAGCCUCUCCCCAGGGACCUCCGCGUCGUCGAUCAAGGCGUGGAGCCUCUCCUUGUUCUCCGCAUCAGUCUUGGAGAUGUCGGUGACAAAACCAUGAGACACCACGUCCAUAUCAUAGGAAAAGCCCGAGCAGACAACUGCCAUUGCCCGUUUUACCCCGAUAUGGAGAGCGUCCCGCACCCGAUCCCUUAGCGUCGCGCCUAAGUAGCACAACUGAUCGACCAGAGCGUCGCCUCGAGCUUCCUCCUUCGACUCGUCCAUGGGCUCGACCUCCCAAGAGGUUGAGAGAUCGCUUAUCGCCGUCCGCAGUCGACGGUUCAAAGCAACCUCCCCCUCGAGCUGGGCCUUGGCGGUACGAGCCUCGACUUGGGCGGCCAAGAGCUCGUCUUUGAGCCCUGUAAAUGCCAAUGCAAAAAAGUUUAGAUAAAACCAAGCACACCUCAGAAAAGAAACUCGAUAGUAGAAAUGUACCACAGAUGAUCUCCUCCAGAGCCGUGUUUUCGCCAACCAAAUUGGUGUUGGCCCUCUCGACCUCCCCGUUGGAGCGCGCCAGCUCGGUGUUGGUGAUGCGCAGAUCCUCGAUCGCCUUGUCGGCCUGCGCAAUGGCUCCUUCCUUCUCCAGCAGCGCCCUCUUCAGACGAUCAACGUCAUCAGAGACGCUGCGGGAUCGAGCCCGCUCCGCCUCGAGGUCUUCGAGGGCCAUCUUCUUUGCCUCCUCCGCGGCGCUCCUGGCAACCCCGCUGUUCACACACUCCACCUUCAUCCUCUGGAAGGAUUCUCGGAUGGAGUCUAGGUCGGCCCUGAGGAGGCCCUUCUCCUUGUCUAGGUUAGCAACGGUGUUCUUAUAGGACAGGGCCUCCUCCCGGGCUUUGGACGCGGCUUCCUCGACCGUCAUGGCCCGCUCCCUCAGUAGCGCAGCCUCUUCCACAGCCUUCCUUGAGGCCUCUCGAGCCUCGACCAGGGCAGCCUCCCUCCCCUUCUUCUCCUCCUCGAGUGCCAAGACCUCUUUAUAAGCCUUGAGGAGUUUCUCCUGUGACUCCAGGAGUUGGUCCUUGAGGAUCGGGAGCUGCUCCCAGCCGCCUCUCGUGGCGUGGAUGAAGCUCGACUUAAUACGAGAGGUCUCUUUCAGGUCCUGCGAGCCGAUGGUCGAGCAACUAGAACACAAAACCAAAUGCUCUAUAAGGAUUAAGGGCUGCAAAACAUUUACAAAGUAAGCCGGUGCGAGCCCGUUGUUAACCACAUCAAAUAGGAGCCCCACCAUGUGCUUCAUCCACAGGCGAAGCUCCUCGACAUGCUCCCACUUCUCCGCCUCCUUCCGGUCGUCCAAAAAGAUGUUGGGUUCGGACGGGUCAAUGGAAGCCCGGAUGCGGAUCCGGUCGGGACGCCAAUUCUCCAUCUCCUGGUCGGCGCGCGCCUUGACGCCUCGGAUGAGCUCCUCGACGGUUUCGAGAGACCCCCCGUGGCGCAGGAACAGGUCGACGAGAGAGGGGAACCGCCCGUCGUCAUCCACCAUCUUCCACGUCCCAGUCUUGCUCCCACCACCGCCUUCCAACGUCCCGAUCUCAUCUUCCUCGGAGGGGACGCGCUCCUCCCACGAUCGACGCCCCCAGAGGAACCCCGGAGCGAUCCCGUCCAUACUGUAGAUCGUCCUCCUGAUCUCAGAAUCGGGGUCGGCGGGAGUACGCAUCAUACAGGCGAGCGCCACUACGCCGUCCGCCCGCCCUGACUCUGCUGGGAUCGCGGCAGGCGCCCCCAGACGGAGCCACGCUGGGGUCGGAUGUCCAAAAGCUGGCAGGCCCUCCUCCUAGUUUCCAGGCUCAUGCGGCGCUACCGGCUCCGGUUGGGGCAGAUCAAGCGGCUUCGCCAGCUGCUGGCCCCCCUGCUGCUGCUGCUCUUGGAGCUCCUGCGGCUCCUGUCGAUGGUCCUGCUCCUGCGGCUACCACCGCGUCUCCUGCUUGCGCUCCUCCUCCUCUUUCUUCCUCUGCUCCUCAAUAGAGCGAAGCCCGGUGGGCCAGGGCGUCCGUCUCGCGAUGGGAGAGGCGUCGACCUCCUCAUCCAUAGGGCGGCCGUCACUUAUAGUGAUCGGAUCCGCCUCAACCCCCGAUCGGGGAGGCUCGGGGGCUCCCUCUUGCCCUUUUGCCCUUGGGGCUGAGGCGCCUUGGCCCGUUUUGGCGACGACGGGGUAGACUCACCCGCCAGGGGAUGGGGCGGGGCACUCUCGGCGCCAGUCGGUGGUCGAGGGUCGGAGGAGCCUAUAAAAUGAAAAACAAAGGUCAGUCUUUGUGGUGGUCGACGUAAGAACAACACAAAUCCCAUAACAAUGGAAUAAGCAACUAACCUGAAUCCUUGGAGGCCGCUCCCACCUUGAGCCUUUUCGCCAUUGAAGGCUGGGCCGGCUCAAGCGUCCGCUUCAACCCGAGGAAAAAGAAACGGGCAGAAGGGAGACCGUUAUACAAGAAAACACAAAAGAAGCAGGAGAAUGAGAAUCACAGCGUCGAAGAACUUACCCCAUACGGAGCACGGCCCGCCUGCCGGUGCCUCGAACGGCAGGCCUCGGGCCACCCCGCGUCAAGGCUCCAGGCCCCUCGCGGGCAGGCGCAGGCCUUGGCCCAGCGUCUCCCACCUGGCGAGCGCCGGGGCUAGCGCUCCUGCGGCCAGUCUCUCCCUUUUCGGAGGCCACGGCACGGCCAGGGGUCAAUGGCCCCGUCGCCUGGGGCUUAGCUCGGCCACCCGCCUUUGGUGCAGGGGGAGGUUGGGGGCGUGGGGCGGCCCGACUCGGCGCGGGCGCGGGAGGGGUGUCAGCGCGGAGGCGGUGAGAUCCGCCUGGCCCCUCCUUUGGUGCUCCCGUCCGGAGGGUGUUGGGUAUUCUUAACAUCAUUACCAAAAGUAGACUAAGUUGUAAAUCUAGCAACGGUGCCAAAAAUGCCAAACCUAUCCCUCACACCACUAAAGCCAAGUUGUCAUCCCCAGCAUGACAUGAGAGACGCGGUAUUGAAAUAUGCAAUUGCUCUUCUAAAUAAAUAAUGAAUGGGAUCUGCAAGCGCACAGAUUAAUACCGAUGCAGCAUUUUAACCGGGAAGUAUUCUAGGUAUCGUUAUUUAUAUUUUUACCACUGGGAAGGGAUUAAUCAAUCAUCACUAUUGAUUACAGAAUAGAAUAUGAGAUUGAGUAUCUAUCAUUGCAUGUAUAAUUGAGAACAUUAUAUCUAACUCUUCAUACAGGGAUAAGUGUCACAUAAAAGAUAUAGGAAAUGAUAAUAGUGACAAGGAUAACUAAUCUGAUCUAGCCACAUAAUAAAUAUGAUAAGCACCUCAAUUAGAUACUCUAGAAAGUCAUUAGCAUGGUAUUAGAACGAACUACAAGAAUAUUCCCUAAGUUAUUCUUAACUAUAUAGUCUAGCAUAUCAUAGUUAGUGCAAGCAUACUUAGCAAUCAUUGCGAGACAAGACUAAGCCCAUGCAUAUUUAUAUUAGCAAGGAAUAUGAGAAAAACAUAGCAAUCACUCCCCUGUAAUAAUGUUGCUCUGCCAGCCCAAUACACAAGAGGGGGACUAUAUAAGAAUCAAAGAAGCUGUCACUAUCACGAACUACCCCACGAUCUGGCAUAUUGGGUACAAUCGCAGAUAAAUACGGUAUAAGCACCACGCCUACACAAUAUCUAUCAUUUACCCAUGGAUCCGAUGGAUAAACGCUAUACGAUCCUAAGCAUGUAUAUAGAUCGUAUCUAACUAAGCCAAGUACAUAACUAUGAUAAACUAGGAACAAUAUAAUCUUGAAUAUAAGCAAGUAGAGCAAAGUCAUAAGCAAUAUAUUGAAGUAGAACAAAGUCAUAUUCAUAAUAUUGAAGAACAAAGAUAAUUAGAAAGCAAUUAGAAGCACAAUUAGAGAAUUACCAAGAAUCCUCCUGACAGAUCCGGAAACCAAUCGAAGAUUGACUCCUUCUAGUUCUAAUCCUAUGUAGCUAUGCUAAUCUAGAUAUCUAAUUGAUGUGGUGGCUCUAAUCUUGAUCAGAGGCUUCUUCUCCCUUGAUGGAACAAUGAAUUAGGGUUGAGAGGCUCUCUCCUCCAGGGGCCAGGGGGUCUGGUUUUAUAGUCCCUUCAAGUGAAUAUGGGCCCUUGGAUCAAACCGACAUAGAAUGUAUGGUUUAGAUUCAUCCUUUAGGUCGGUGGCGACUUCCCGCAAAGCAGAGUCCUGAUUGGACUCCAGAGGUGGGCGGGCGCCCUGACCAACUGGGCGGCCGCCCAGGGUCUGGCCCCGUUUUGCCUCCGCUUCGGUCUCGUGGCUUCUGGAGUCUUCUAGAUGUAAGAUAAUUGCGCAGCACGUUAAUAUCUUUACGUAAUCCUGACAUGUGGGCCUUUCUUCCAUAUUUCCUGAUAACCCCCUGCAGAAAUAGACAAACACCAAACCUCGUGGAAUUCUGUCAGAUAAAACCCUAAGUCUAGAUCUUUAUUUCAUUUGGAUCCUUUUCUUUGUUUAUUUGUUAAUUAAAUUUGAUACUUAAGGACCGUCAACAAACUCCCCCAAGCAUACCUCUUGCUCGUCCCUGAGCAAGGAUAGACUCAGCUAUGGAUCAGAAGUUGCUGCAAUAUCUUUAAAAAUUUGACGGUACACAUGCUCUUAAAUAAGAUCUCAUCUCUGAGUUAGGGUAAACUGUCAAGACUUAAAACUUACUUACUUUACCUACACCAUGGGACUUGUAACUGUCACUUCUGUCUUGAGUGGUUAAAAGAUAGAACAGUCUAGCCAAGUGCUAUGUCUCUUAUUCUUUAUCAGCUAUAGCUCUGGGGUUUUUGCAGAUUUUCAAAUAAAACUCAGAAUUCCUUGUAUGAUUCUCUCAGGUCUCUCUUUUGUGGUAUUUUUGGAUCCUUACCAAGGCAUUGAUAGUAUAUGCCUUCUCUCAAGAUAUGUGGUAUUUGUGGUAUGAGGCAUAGUAACAUUGCCUUCUCUCUCAUCCUACUCUAAUAAGGCUUUAAUAUCUGGAGCUCAUAGGUGGGAGAUAAAAUAUACAUACUUACAAGACAUGUAUUGCAUAGUCAAACCAUGGAUCCAAAGUAACAAGUCAAUAAGUUUAAUCAAGAUGUGCAUGUGUGGCGAAUGAAUGGUAUAUGGUGAUGAUGGUGAUAACAAUGGUGAAAACAAUGGUGAAAACAAUGGUGGUGAAAGUCUAAUUCUACUUUGCUCUUCUGAGGGGAUACAUACCUUCCUUGCUUUUGAAACUUUAUGAGGAGAAUGAGAUGCUCUUCUUUUUCUUUUCUCUCAGGUGGGUAUCUUGUACCCCUAAUUCAACUGUCGGAUACUUGUCCAUUUUUACCUCUCGUCUCACUUUUUUCUUUUCUUUCGAGGUUCCGAGCACUUGCUCCUUUUUAUUUCCUCGUAUUAUUCUUCUCUCUUUUUUUUUAGAGCACUCAUCUCUUGAGAUAAUAUAGCAAGUGGUAGUAACAAGAUAACUUGAGAAUUUAUUUCACAAACAGAAAAUAUUUUUGGUUAUUCUCUCCCGGAUUAGGAGUAGAAUAUUUUCAGGUGGUUCUGGAGAUGGAAUGGGUGGAUAUAUGUGGAUGGUACUUCCGGAGUAGAAGUAGCAUAUAUGAGUGAACGUGCAAGUGAAAUCUUGAUUUAACCACAUGACAAGCUCCUAAGGGUCUACACAGCUUGACCACACUCAAUGCUCAUAAGCAGUAAAUAAUAAAUGUGUGGCUCAAGGUCUAGCAAGCAUGUAUAUAUGGCUGUGGUAGGAAUUUAAGCUCUCAUCAUACAGGAACUCAUCAUGUAAUAUUUUAAAGAUUUUCAAAGAUAAAUUCUCUAGAAUUCUAGCAUCUCUAGGAACAGAUAAACAGCAGCUCAACCUUCCUAUAUCGUAUCCGUUAACAACUUAGACUUCAGAUCAAGUUUUCCUCCAACAAGUUUAGGUCUAGGGCAAGCUUUAAAUUAUAACAGUUAUGUCUAAACUUGAGAGAGAACUUAAAAUGUGCAAAUUAGGCAGAGCAACUAUUCAUUAUAUCCAUACUUAAGUUUUAUUAGAUACAGAUUAGCAUAGCCACUUUAUUUAUUAAUUAAACACACUAAGUAAUACUCCCUCCGUCCCAAAUUAUAAGUCAUUCCAAGAAUCUUGGAGAGUCAAAUUUUUUCAAGUUUGACCAAAUUUAUAUAGCAAAAUAAUAAGAUUUUUUGUAGCAACCAAGUAUCAUUAGAUUCUUUGUUAGUUAUAUUUUCAUAGUGUACCCAUUUUAUGACAUAAAUCUUUAUAUUUCUCUCUAUAUUUUUGGUCAAACUUGGAAAUGCUUUGACUCUCCAAGAUUCUUGGAAUGACUUAUAAUUUGGAACGGAUGGAGUAUAUAUAAGCAUAAAAUCUUUAUUUGGUUUUCCCAUAGUUUAUGUGUAUUAAUAUUCUAAAAUAAUAUAAAUAUAAAGAUAGAUAGAUAGAAAUAUUUAUCGAGAUAAAUGGGGGUGCUCUCUCCCAAGCUGAAUUUUGACGUAAUUUCUCUUGAUGUAGCUAGCAGGUGGCAGAGGUGUAUUUGAAAGCAGCAUUCUGACAGCGAUUAGAAUGUCCUCUGUCUGCUAGUCUUCUUGAUUUUUAAAUUCUGUGGAGCUCAAAUAGACAACAAAGCUUGUGGAACUGAUUAAGUGUUAGCAUAAAUAUCUAGCCUUUAUCAUCUUGAGACUCCUUAAUUAUUACUCCCUGUUUUUAUAUUUAUAUUUUUAUUUUUAUAAAGCAGAAAAAAUAUUUAUUUUAUUUUUAUGCCACCACAGUGAAUGUACGUAUGGGUUUUUAUGCCACUCGUCUACUCACAUGGGGCUUACUGUUUUUCACAUUUUUAUUUUCUUUUAUUUUUUUAGAUAGUAUGAAUAUGAUUAACUAAGUAAACUAUUUAAAAUAAUUGAAAGGGAAAGGAUAACUACCAAGUUUACCUCUUGGCAAGGCGUUCGGUGUUUUCAAGUCCUCCGAACGGGACUCUCCAAUUUCUUAAUCGUCCUGAGGUUCGUUGGGUGGCGUAGUCGGUACUUCCGGCAGCGCCUCCUCUUCUUGUAUAGUUAUCUUCAUUUUCCACACCUGACUCGGUGCUUCAAUCUCCUCUGGAUAAUUCUGUUUAAACUCUACGUCUUCUGACCUUACAACUUCUCCUUCAUAGUCUGCCCAUCCGUCCUUAAUGAUCUACCUCCUCUGGUUGCGGUUGCGUCGUUUUCUUGCCUGCUUAGAUUCUUCAAUGAUAUAGUUAGGGUCAGUAAAAUAACAGCGUACCUUCUCUGAGGGGAAGUGCAUAUGGACUUCUCCGGUUCCAAUGUAGAUAAUGGCUUUAACGGUGCUGAGGAACGGUCUUCCAAGGAUGAUGAGUGGAUCAUACUCGUCUUCUCCCAUGUCAACAACUUGAAAGUCUGUGUAGACAAAAUGAUCGUCUAUUUUGACUGGGACAUCAGAUACUAUUCCUUGAACUUCUCGAAAUGUCUGAUCUGCCAUCUGGAGCUGAAUGUAUGUUGGUCUUAGUGGCAUGGUCCCGAACAAGAGCCGAUAGGUGACUGCGGCCAUUAUGUUGACGCCUGAUCCGGUGUCGCAAAUCGUCUUGUAGAAGUUGUAUCCAUUUAUGGAGCAGUAAAUGCUUGGCAUUCCUGGGUCGUCCUUCUUGUUCAAAAACGGUGACUUCAGUUGGUGAUCUUGGUCUCCAUGGACUACAGUGACCAUCUUAGCUGACUCGGUCCACACUUGCUUGUUCCUGUUCCUCCUGUUGGUCCUCUUCCUUGAUUGACGUCUGGAUUGAUUUGGAAUUUGUGUAGUCUUGUUUUUGAAGAAAAAUGUCUCCUUCUUCCCUUUGACGUAGAAACUGAUCUUGGCAGCACUGGCGUAGAUGAUAGCUCCCGUGGUGUUCAAAAAUGGCCUCCCUAGGAUGAUAGGUGCUCUCUCAUCAUUUCCGGUCUCUACCACUACGAAGUCUGCUGGUGCAUACAAGGUACCAACUCGGACACAAAGGUUCCUCACUAUUCCUUUUGGAAAAGUUAUCGUCUGAUCUGCAAACUGCAAACACAUGGUUGUCUCUAAUAAAGGAUAUGUAAAGAAUUUUUCAUAGAGUACCCUGGGUAUAAUGUUGACACUGGAGCCAAAGUCACAGAGUGCUUCUGGGAAGUCCACCAUGCCGAUGGAGAUCGGGAUGACGGGGCGUCCUGGAUCGCCUCUCUUGACCGGCAGACGGUCAGUAGAAAAUUCAUUGACGGGGUUACUCCAAUUACCUGCAUCAAACACGUCUACAAGAUUUGCAGAUUCUAAUCCUUCCGGUUGUGAUGGUAUACCGGAGUUAGUAGUAGGAACAGCAGCAGCUAUCUGAUUUAACUGAGAUUCAAUCAUUUUAUUAAAGCUAAUGUGAUUCUUGAUGGCAGUAGAAAAAUUAUCCAUUCUAUUAUUUAUAUUUUCUAGCAUUUUAUCAUUAGAUGCCAAUUUCUUAGAUAGGUUAUCCAUUAGCUUACCUUGAUUAGACACUAACUCUCUCAAAGGUGGAAAAUUAUUAUUAUUGUUGUAAGAAUUGUUACCUUGAUAAUUACCUGAGUAGUUAGGCCUCUAUUGAUUCCAACCUUGAUUUUGUUGAGGACGGUUGUAGUAGUUGUUGUUGUUGAUGUAGUUCACAUCCUCAAGUAUCUCAGGGCAGUGGUUGCCUGAGUGUCCAGUGUCUCCACACUCCUCACAAGUCAUGUGAGAGUCGUAGAUGUGCAUAACUUCUUUCUUGUCUCCAGCUUUAUCAUCGAGCUUCUUCAUGAGCAGGUCUAGCUUUGCAGACAGCAUGUCUACCUCCUUCAGCUGAUGCAUACCUCCACCUCUCUUGCGUGUCUGGGUCCUCUCUUCAUUCCAGCUUUGAUUGGACGCCAUCUUCUCCACAAGAGCUGUGGCUUGUGGUAUAGUAAGUGAUAAGAAUGCUCCUCUAGCUGCAGCAUCCAUGGUCUCUCGGGCACUGUUGUUGAGCCCAUGAUAGAAUGUCUGCAUCAAUAGCCAACUCUCCAUUCCAUGAUGGGGACAUUCUAGGAUGUAGUCUUGAAAGCGCUCCCAUGCUUCUGGAACAGAUUCAUCAUUUUGUUGCUGAAAACUUGUAAUCUUCCCACGGAGAGCAUUGGUCUUGCCCAUGGGAAAGAACUUAGCCAGGAAGUUUGUUGAGCAGAGUGCCCACGUAGUAUUCUUCUCCUUUGUAGCGUAGAACCACUGCUUCGCUCUUCCUAACAGUGAGAAAGGGAAGAGGCGAAGUAAUAUAGCGUCUUUGGAAACUCCUGCUAUGGUGAAUGUGUUGCAAAUCUCUAGGAAGUGUUGUAAAUGAGCACUAGCAUCUUCAUGUGCCUUCCCACAGAACUGGUUGGAUUGCACCAUGUUGAUAAGUCCAGGCUUGAGCUCAAAGUUGCCAUUGAUCUCUGCAGCAGGUCCAGUGCGGAUGUUGUCCGUAGUGGGAGCUGAGAACUCGCGGAUCGAUUUGUUCGCCAUGGCUUCGAACUCUGAAGACAAGUUCCGGUGAUCUUCUUGAUUGGAUGAAGCUUCUUGCUGAAGUGUUGAUGAUUUCUUUAGCUUGGCCCUCGUCUUCUUGAAUAAUGCUUCAGGAUCGUCAACAAAAUUCCCUGGAAGAUGUCUUCUAUUCAUACAUUCCCCUGCAUAAGAUAAAAUAGAAAAAUAUUGGGGUAAAACUGUAUGAGAGAAUAGAUAAGCUCAAUCAUAUUAGCGAUGCGAAUGAUAACUCAAAAUCUUUUAUUCCAUUCCUGAUUGGUAAUCAACCUUCCCCGGCAACGGCGCCAAAAAUGCUUGUUGGGUAUUCUUAACAUCAUUACCAAAAGUAGACUAAGUUCUAAAUCUAGCAACGGUGCCAAAAAUGCCAAACCUAUCCCUCACACCACUUAAGCCAAGUUGUCAUCCCCAGCAUGACAUGAGAGACGCGGUAUUGAAAUAUGCAAUUGCUCUUCUAAAUAAAUAAUGAAUGGGAUCUGCAAGCGCACAGAUUAAUACCGAUGCAGCAUUUUAACCGGGAAGUAUUCCAGGUAUCGUUAUUUAUAUUUCUACCACUGGGAAGGGAUUAAUCAAUCAUCACUAUUGAUUACAGAAUAGAAUAUGAGAUUGAGUAUCUAUCAUUGCAUGUAUAAUUGAGAACAUUAUAUCUAACUCUUCAUACAGGGAUAAGUGUCACAUAAAAGAUAUAUGAAAUGAUAAUAGUGACAAGGAUAACUAAUCUGAUCUAGCCACAUAAUAAAUAUGAUAAGCACCACAAUUAGAUACUCUAGAAAGUCAUUAGCAUGGUAUUAGAACGAACUACAAGAAUAUUCCCUAAGUUAUUCUUAACUAUAUAGUCUAGCAUAUCAUAGUUAGUGCAAGCAUACUUAGCAAUCAUUGCGAGACAAGACUACGCCCAUGCAUAGUGAUAUUAGCAAGGAAUAUGAGAAACAUAGCAAUCACUCCCCUGUAAUAAUGUUGCUCUGCCAGCCCAAUACACGAGAGGGGGACUAUCUGAGAAUCAAUGAAGAUGUCACUAUCACGAACUACCCCACGAUCUGGCAUAUUUGGUACAAUCGCAGAUAAAUACGGUAUAAGCACCACACCUACACAAUAUCUAUCAUUUACCCAUGGAUCCGAUGGAUAAACGCUAUACGAUCCUAAGCAUGUAUAUAGAUCGUAUCUAACUAAGCCAAGUACAUAACUAUGAUAAACUAAGAACAAUAUAAUCUUGAAUAUAAGCAAGUAGAGCAAAGUCAUAAGCAAUAUAUUGAAGUAGAACAAAGUCAUAUUCAUAAUAUUGAAGAACAAAGAUAAUUAGAAAGCAAUUAGAAGCACAAUUAGAGAAUUACCAAGAAUCCUCCUGACAGAUCCGGAAACCAAUCGAAGAUUGACUCCUUCUAGUUCUAAUCCUAUGUAGCUAUGCUAAUCUAGAUAUCUAAUUGAUGUGGUGGCUCUAAUCUUGAUCAGAGGCUUCUUCUCCCUUGAUGGAACAAUGAAUUAGGGUUGAGAGGCUCUCUCCUCAAGGGGCCAGGGGGUCUGGUUUUAUAGUCCCUUCAAGUGAAUAUGGGCCCUUGGAUCAAACCGACAUAGAUUGUAUGGUUUAGAUUCAUCCUUUAGGUCGGUGGAGACUUCCCGCAAAGCAGAGUCCUGAUUGGACUCCAGAGGUGGGCGGGCGCCCUGACCAACUGGGCGGCCGCCCAGGGUCUGGCCCCGUUUUGCCUCCGCUUUGGUCUCGUGGCUUCUGGAGUCUUCUAGAUGUAAGAUAAUUGCGCAGCAUGUUAAUAUCUUUACGUAAUCCUGACAUGUGGGCCUUUCUUCCAUAUUUCCUGAUAACCCCCUGCAGAAAUAGACAAAUACCAAAACUCGUGGAAUUCUGUCAGAUAAAACCCUAAGUCUAGAUCUUUAUUUCAUUUGGAUCCUUUUCUUUGUUUAUUUGUUAAUUAAAUUUGAUACUUAAGGACCGUCAACAGAGGGCGUCGACGUCGCCUCGAGGCGGACCCUCAAGCAUCCGGUCGAGGCGAGACGCCAUCCCCUCGGAGUCGUCGCUGUCAUCAUCACCGUCUCCACCGUCAUCCUCACUGGGGGAUUCUUCUUCAGGCUCCCCCCUCUGCCUGGACUUAGCUCGACGUGCCUCUAGCGCUUGGCGGUUGAGAUUCUUCUUUUUCUUCCCUUUCUUCUCUGAGUCCUUGGUGGACUUUUGUUUCUCAGCGGACUGGCGCCGCUUAUCACGGUCGACCUCGUCCUCCUUUACUAGAGGCCUCGAGGACCGGACAUCGAUCUGUCCCUACCAGAACAAAGGCAAGCUUAAAAAGGGAUCGAAAGAAAUCUAGAAUCAAAGCCAUAUACAAGAAAAGGACGUACCAGGUCGAUCGAGCCCGCAUCAGGCCUCAAGGGGAAGCCAUUGACGUGCUCCGGCUGGAAGUCGUCGGCAACGGCCGCCCUGACCCGGGCCGCGACUUCAUCAUCCGCCGGAGCCUCGUUGGACAUCCGGCACGCCUCGAGGUCCCGGGACAAAGCGCCAGGCCCCAUCUCAUCCAUCCUCAGCGGCCGAGACAUCAGCGGGAGAACUCUCCGAUGACGGACGGUCGAGAGGACGAGAGCGGCAGAAAGGCCCUCCAAGCGUAACUUCUUUAGGGCGUCGAGGAGGGGAUCGAGCCGCGACUGGUGGACCUGGACGACGCCAUACGUCCAGUUCUCCGGGUGCUCCGUAAUCAGGCGGCCGGUGUAGGCAGGGAGAAGACUGUCGUCGUUUCGCAGAUAGAACCACUAGGAGUCCCAUCCGGCGUGGUUCGACGAUAAACCCACCGGGAUGCACUCGCGUGGCCUCUCCAUCUUCCCCGUCUUCAGCACCAGGUUCAGGCACCCGGCCCGCACGGGCUUCCUCACUCCGGCGGCUCCAGCGGGGGCGUUGAAAAGCUCGCCCCUGUAGAGGUGCAGCCACAGCUCCCAGUGGGGCAUCAUCCCCAAAUAACCCUCACACACCGCAGCAAAGACCGCCACGACGGUGAUGGCAUUUGGGGAGAAGUGCUGGAGCUCCACCCCGUAAUGGUGGCAGAGCGCCUGCAUGAAGCGGCUCGGAGGAGUGCCUAGGCCGUGGUGGUGGAACUUGGCAAACGAAACCACGUAGCCCUUGGGCGACCUGGGCUCCCGGUGGUCCGCCGCCGGUGCGAUCCACUCCGGCGAUGACAGCGAUGUGCGGCGGUGCAGGAGUCCCUCCCUCUUGAGCUCCAGCAACCGGCGUUCCGUCAUCGACGACGGGCACUAGUCGUCGGCGGCAACGAGUCUCACAGGCAUCCUGGAUGGAAGGAGGGCGGAUUCGCUACUGCUCGAGGGGGUGCGCGCGCGUGAGAUGGCAAGAGAGCUAAGAUGGCGAGAGAGCUAAGGCAAGAAUGGAGGCAGAAUGCGGAAGGGAGAACAGCGGCAAGGCCACGGGAUAUUUAUAGGCAGCAACCCACCAACGGACAGAUCCGAUAAAUGAGGUAACUCCCCCCAUAAAUGCGCCACCUAACGGUCCUUUUCCUCCUCACAAACGGGGUGCUCCGAAUUCUGCGCCGAUACAGUGCCGCAACGGCUCCCACCUCAAAAGACGCGCCCAACUGGCAGAAAGGCGAACCGCCAUGGCCUCUUCCUUCCCUUGUAAGCCAAGGUACGCACCCACGAAAGCCUCGAGACGUCGCAGGCUGACCCGCCGAAAGGGUUCGGCAGCCGAUCUCGAGCACCAGAGUCAGGGAUGCCCAGUGGGUGGUCGAAAAUCGAGGCCCGCCUCGAGAACUCGCUGGGGAUGUCCGAGGUAGGAUCGAGACAGUCGAGAGGAAUCCCCCCGACGGGAGGCAUCGAGCCACUGGACUCUAUCGAACGAGACCAGCAUCCCCGACCACGUCGACCCCACUUUAUGAGAACGCCUCUGGGCUACAGCUGACCCCAUCGAAAGGGGCACAUGUUCUCACUUGGACUACCCGUUAGGAGCUCAAUCUAGGGUGGAUGACGCUCGCUCUAUCGAGAGUACGUCGAAACCCCCGUGCAAAACGAGCCAAUCAGAACCUUCCACCACUGGUGUCGACAGCGUUUCUGCGAAUUAGGCAAUAUAAGCCUCGAAGGAGUCAAAAACUCCUCCAAGGGCUCGUGGGCUACCCCCGCGGGGUCGCUCGCGCGCCCCCAUGGAAAUUCGACCGCAAAAUAAUGCCUCUACUCGAGCGCUAGCGCUCAAAUGAAGACUCGGGGGCUACUGUCGAGGGUAUCAGUAAGGGGUAUCCUAACUGAUGUACAUAACGAGAUUGCCCGUACGCAGGUCGAGGCCCUCAACUCGACGCUCUAAUUAGUCACAUGUACAGUCAUCGACGACCGCAGCCUCGAAGACGGAAAAGGCGUCGAGCGAAUCGAUCAGGGCUCGAGUGCCAACUACCGUCGAAUACAGAUACAUGCUCGAGCGAACUAGGAGGCGUCGAACGCAAGGACGCCGCCCGCCGCCUGACGCGCGCACGGGAACCAGGGCAUUUAAUGCGCCUGUCGCGUUCCCACCUAACACGCCAAGUCACGGGAAGCGUGAUAGGGAACAGGCACCCGUCCCAUCAUUCUUUUUGCAGCCUUCCCCACCAAACAACCCAGAGCAUGUCAGGACGCGGGAAGCAGGGAUGGAACGUCUAAUCAGGACCCCCUCGAGACAUCCAAGGUCAACGCUCUGGAUAGCAAGGCGCUACAUGGCGUUCGACCCUCGACCAGACAUGUUUCCUUCCUGGGGAAGGGUUGGGCGUCGAAUGGCAACACUGCAACCACUCCGACGUAUCAGCCGCCAUGAUGUACAGGCGUGCAACGGAUAAACCAGUCCAAGACAGCGCACAGAGCAGGAUAUGGGGGCACGCAUAAUAAUCAUCAAGCUACCAGGACGGGACGGCUCGAGACCACGCCGGUACGGAGGCCUCGAGUAGGUCCGCGCCAUGCCUCUAUCGACCCCUCCUCUGACGCCUAGACUUGUACCCUGGGCUUCUCGUUGGAUCUAUAAAAGGGGAAGACCGGGAGCGAACUUAGGCAUCAAUCACGCAAUACUACACCCAUACACAGUAGAACUCCCACACUCCAUCUCCUUCCAUACCACACUUGUAUUCACCCCUGUACAAGCACUUAGGUGCAAAAUAAUACAAACUCUCCUCCCCCGCUGGACGUAGGGCCUUCUCUUGUCCGAACCAGGAUAAAUCCUUGUGUCUUUUUGCAUCACCAUCUGGAAAAAGGGAGCACGCAUACAAAUUCACUCGUUGGUGUGACCCCCCAUGGGGAAAACACCGACACAUUCCAACAGCCAAAGCUAGCAUAGGGAUUAACAAUGCAUGCUUAAGGGUCCCCAUGGUCCAUGGGAAUCACUUUGGUGGUUGUCUCCUCUUUUGCUUUCUCCUUUUCUCUUUCACCAAACACUAAACAUGGGAAUCCGAGGCAACCAGCAGCAACUUUAGGUCAGCACCACCACCAUCUUUAUCAGACAACCCAACAUAGCAUGAUUAAAGUGGUGGGGGGCAAAAGUCAUGGUCGAUCGACCAUGCUUUUGGUCCCACUUGGUGACUUUUUGCAAGCACAAGGCUAGGUUCCUUGUCCAAAGUGGAAGGCAUGUUUCAAAGGGGGUGAACCCCAGUCAGCCAACCUACCCUAUGGUGGGUUUUGCCAUUCCCUUUGACCCAUAUAAAUAGCACCCCAAUGUGAGCUCAAUUCCACACCACAACCAGCAGAAUCAUCUCGAGCUCAAUUGGCCUUCUCUUCUCUUUAGUGUUCCAAGCCUUCUCAAGCUUAGUGUAGUAGUAGAUAUAAACCCAAAAACAUUUCCCUUUUGCAUAGUAGUAUAGUAGGAAGCUUGGUCUUGUUUGUUCACUUGUGAAGCUAGCAUGAAGAAAUUCAUCUCCGCCAAGCUCACGAAAAAGAGGAAGGGUGAUGGCUCAUCCUCUUGCUCUCGCCACUCUGAGAGUAGGAGCCAUGAGAGAGUGGAGGAGGAACAACUGCAAACACUUGUUCCCUUUAUCCCCGCUGAUAGGAUACUGGAGCCCCACGACAACCUCUUGCUCACUCAUGAAGAGCAAGGGAAGCUCUACACCCUUCGCACUUGCGGCUUCAACCACACCACUGUCUUUGACGAGCAACUCUUGGACCAAUCAGGUAUGAGCACCGAAUUUCCUACCCUCUUUUAUGUCAUUGGUUGGGGUGGAUUUUGGCAAGUUCCUGAAUUUGGUAUAAAAUUACUCUCUCAAGAAUUUCUUGCCACACUAAAAUCAAACAAUGUGGGAGUAACUUUUUGCAUGUUCAGCAAAGAUUACAGUUUAACAUGGAGUGAACUGAGUACAUGUCUAGGCUUUGAUCAAGAUUGUGAGCUUGACAUAGAUCAUGCUUUGCAAAAUUUUGACGUAGCCAAGUUUUGGAAGUUGAUUACUUGCUCCAAUAAUAUCUCUGUUCGUAGACCUGUCCAAAUCCAUAACCCAACCUUAAGAUUCAUGUACAUUUGGAUCGUAGUCACUCUCUUCCCUGGUACUAGUGUGGAUGAUAUAGGCUUUAAAAAAUUGCAAAUCCUUUAUGCCAUGGUAAAUAAAAUCAGAUUUUCACCUAUUGGCUAGUACCUUUCUGGAUUUCCUCCAUUGCACCUAGCAUGCCCCCUAUGCUUUACUUCACUUAUCACCAGAAUUGCUGAAUCUAUGGGUUUGCUUGAAACAAAUGAAGUAGAGUACAUCCAGGAUGAUAGAUCUCUCUUAGGUGAGCAGAUGUUUAGGAGUGCUAAUUUGAUUAAGAGAGAUCCCAGAAACGGCCUUAAAAUGAUUUAUGGGAACCAUCCUAUUGAGGUCUCUCUCCCCGAUGAGGACCUUCAGUUGUAUAAUGCUUCAUCACUAACCUUGAGGCUAGGAAGAGAGAAUAGAGCCAACCCUAUUGCAGGGACAGAUAGCAUGACGAGACCAUGGUCCCGUGCUGCUCAACAGCAAGCUGGUCCCUCUUAUGUUGCACCACAAGAGGAGGAUGAGAUGAACUCCUUGCACAUGGAAACACCUCAUCACUCCUGGACAUCAGCCGUGCGCACCCCUCGCCCUCGUGGUAGGGGGAGGCGCCAACCACCAUCCGAAAUGGAAACACUCAUCAGUGAUAUGGAGAACAUCAACAUCGGACAAUACACCACCUUGCAGCUCAUGCAAGAGAACUUGGACAUGGCCCAAAGCCUCCAAGCUGAGAGUGAGUACCGAUGGGACCAGUGGUUUGGGUAUCAACCACCUCAGUGAGCAAGAAGGCAAGCUUGGGGGAGAUUCUCUCCCCCACUAAGGUAAGUUUAUCCAAGGUAAGUUUCCAACCCCCUAAUUUAAUUCUUGUUUUAUUGCAUUUUGUUUGUUUCCUUCUUGCAUAAAAAAAUCCAAAAAAAUAUUUAUUUGCUUUAUUUCCUUUUUGUAUAUAUGCUUCAUGUGUGCUAUCCAUCCUAUGGAAAUGAUGAUGAAAUUGCUACUUAAUGUCUCUCUAGUGCUUGUUUACAACUUAGCAUUUCUCUAAGUAUGGACUACUUAGCAUUCUUAACCAUCAUGAACUUGAACACUUAGUGGGUUACAAGUGCUAAAACAAAGUCUAAGUUGUUGUGAGACAUGAUAUAGCUAAGAUAACAGAUCUAUUCUAUUGUUCUAAGCAUGCAUGAUUGCCAAAAAAUUUAUUUUUUAAAGAUGAAUAAAAACUUAAUUGUGUCCUCAAUGGUGUUAAACCUACCACAAGCCAUAUAUGCUCUACAUGAUAGAAACCCAACACAUAGGCUGCUUGCUUGUGUUGAGAGUUGUCAACUCUUGUUGACCCCUGGUUUAGAGUUGUGUCAUGCUCAAUGAGAUCAAGAUCCACACCAUCCACAUACAUCUGCUACUCCUACACUGGGAGUAUGCAACAUUCCAUACCAUUCCAUUCCAUUCAGGGGCAAAGCUAUUGUUGGGUAUUUUAAACGCAAACAGAAAAAUCCGCAAGCGCACGGAUACCGAUGUAGCCUUCACCCGGGAGUAUUCCAGAGUAUCGAUUUUCCACAGGGAACGUGAGUGUACUAAUUAAGAUCCAAGAUCACCCAAGGAUAACUAUAUGAUUAUUUUUGGUGGGAAGAGAGGAAGUUUCUUGAGAGUUCUCUAGUUGAUCUAAGAAUCAAGAAUUACUUCAAGAUUAUCUAUAUCGGGACAUCAGAACACUAACCACAGAAAGAGAUGAGAAGGGGGCUAGGAAGCUCCGACUACGGUCCUACAAACACCGAUCCGAACGAGGUGGAAUACGUCGACCGUUAGGGCUGUCACUACCCUAAGGAUACCACAACAAUCCGCAGGAUUGGGUGCAAUUCCAGGUAAUUGCAAGACUAAACACCACGUCUAAUCUAUUAAUUACUACUCUAAUGUUUCAAAGAUUAGAGCACUUGAUGCAAGCGGGAAUCCAAUAAAUAACUUGAAUGUAAAUAAAAGUAAUUAGAGAACUCAGGAGUUAUGAGUUGAAGAACCUGGAGAACGAUGAAGAACGAACCAGAUGCUGCAAAAGUACAAUGUUGAGGAAGAUCCGAUAGAUCUGGCUCCUCCUCCGCUCUCCUCUUCUCUCUCCCUAUUUUCUAGAUUACAACUAGAACUAACUGGAACUAGAACUAGAGGAACUAGAACUAGAACUAGAUGAACCAGAACUAGAUCUAGAUGAACUAGAGGUAGAACUAGAAGAACUAGAGGGAUCCUCUCUACUUGGAUGAAGAAUUGAAACCCUAGCUUUGAUUCUGUAGAAGAGGUAUGAUCUCCAGGGGUCAGGGGGCCUUGCUUAUAUAGUCUUUUCAGAUCAAUCUAGGCCGUCGGAUCAAACCGACAUUAAUCGCACGGUUUUCCUUGAUCCUUUAGGUCGGUGGAGCAUAAUCCGCGAAACGGGUCCGAAUUGGACACUAUAGCUGGGCGGGCGCCCAGGAGAGUUGGGCGGGCGCCCUGCCUCCGAGCCCGAUUUCCUUCCCGUUCGUUCCCGUGGCUUCUGGAGUCUUCUAGAUGAUAGAAAAUUGCGCGACACGUUAAUAUCUCUAUGUAAACCCGACGUGUGGGCCUUUCUUCCGUAUUUCCUGAUAACCCUCUGCAGAAAUAGACAAACACCAAAACUCGUGGAAUUCUGUCAGAUAAAACCCUAAGUCUAGGUGUUGGUUCCAUUUAGAUCCUUUUCUAUGAUUAGUUGAUGGUUAAAUGUGAGCAUUAAGGACCGUCAACAAGCUCCCCCAAGCUUAACCUUUGCUCGUCCCUGAGCAAAGAUGGACUCAAGAGUUUCUGCAGUGGUUUCAUAACUUAAAGAUACACAUGCGUUUAAACAAGAUCUCAUCUCUGGUUAGAGUAAACUGUUAAGACCUAAAACUUACUCAUUUACCUUUCACCAUGGGACUUGUAACCGUCACUUCUAUCUUGAGCAGUUAAAAGAUAGAACGUUCUAGUCAAGCGCCAUGUCUCUAGUUCUACGAUUAACUAUAGCUCUGGAGUUUUUGCAGAUUUUCAAAUAAAACUCAAAGAUUCCUUGUAUGACUCUCUCUAGUCUCUCGUUUGUGAUAUUUCUGGAUCCUUACCAAGGCAGUAAUGGUAUACGCCUUCUCUCAAAAUCUAUAGUAUUUAUGGUAUAAAGCAUAGUGGCAUUGCCUUCUCUCUCACCCUACUCUAAUAAGGCUUUAAUAUCUGGAGCUCAUAUAGGUGGGAGAUAAAGUGUACAUACUUACAAGACAUGUAUUGUAUAGUCAAACCAUGGAUCCAAAGAAACAAAUCAAUAAGUCAAAUCAAGAUGUGCAUGUGUGGCGAAUGAAUGGUGUAUGGUGAUGAUGGUGAUAACAAUGGUGAAAGUCUAAUUCUACUUAUGCUCUUUUGAGGGGAUACAUACCUUUCUUGCUCUUUUGAAACUUUUUGAGGAGAAUGAGAUGCUCUAUAUUUUUGUUUUCUUUUCUCUCAGGUGGGUAUCUUGUACCCCUAAUUCUACUGUCGGACACUUGUCCAUUUUUACCUCUCAUCUCACUUUUUUUUUCUUUUCUUUCGAGGUUCCGGGCACUUGCCCCUUUUUAUUUCCUCGUAUUUAUUAUUAUUUUUAUUUUUUAGAGCACUCAUCUCCUGAAAUAUAUAGCAAGUGGUAGUAACCAAGAUAACUUGAGCAUUUAUUUCACAAGGGAAAAACAGAAAUGUUUUUGGCUAUUCUCUCCCGGAUUAGGAGUAGAAUAUUUUUGGGUGGUUCUGGAGAUGGAAAUGGGUUGAUGUAUGUGGAUGCGUACUUCCAGAGUAGAAGCAGCAUGUAUGAGUGAACGUGCAAGUGAAUCUUGACUUAACCACAUGACAAGCUCCUAAGGGUCUACACAGCUUGACCACACUCAAUGCUCAUAAGCAGUAAAAAGUAAAUGUGUGGCUCAAAGUCUAGCAAGCAUGUAUAUAUGGCUGUGGUAGGAAUUUAAACUCUCAUCAUACAGGAACUCGUCAUGCAACAUUUUAAAGAUUUUUAAAGAUAAAAUUCUCCAGAAUUCUAGCAUCUCUAGGAACAGAUAAACAACAACUCAACCUUCCCAUAUCAUAUCCGUUAACGACUUAGACUUUAGAUAAAAUACUCUCCCCACAAGUUCAGGUUUAGAGCAAAUCUUAAUUAAUACCUGUCAUGCCUAAACUUGAGAGAGAUUUCAGUUUUGAGAAUUAGUCAUGGCAGAGCAACUAUUCAUCAUUUCCAUGUGAGAGCUUAUCAUGAGGGUUCAUAGCAAAUUUUAUUUAUUUAUUUAUUUAGCAAACUAAGCAAAGAUAUAUAUAAGCACAAAAUCUUUAUUUGGGUUUUUAUGAUUGUGCAUCUUUUUUAUUAUUUAAGUAAAGUAUAAACAUGAGUAGAGCACUUAGCUGGAUAAAUGGGGUUGCUCUCCCCCAAGCUGGGUUUUGACGUAAUUCCUUCUGAUGUAGCUAGCAGGUGGCGGAGGUGUAUUUGAAUGUGGCAGCACCCUGACAGCGAUUAGGAUGUCCUCUGUCUGCUAGUCUUCUUUGAUCCUUGAAUUCUGUGGAGCUCAAAUAGACAACAAAGCUUUGUGGAACUAGUUAAGUGUUAGCAUAAAUAUCUAGCCUUUAUCAUGUUGAGCCUCCUCUAUAAAUGCUACUCUCUUUAGUAGGAUCAUAAAUUUAUUUUUAUAUUUUCAUUUUUAUAGGACAGGAAUAUAUAUAUUUAUUUUUACGCCACCACAGUGAAUGUACUUAUGGGUUUUAUGCCAUGAGCAUACUCAUAUGGGGCUUACUAUUUUUAACAUUUUUAUUUUCUUUUCAAGAUAGCAUGAACCUGAUUAACUAAGCAAACUAUUUUAAAUAAUUGAAAGGAGAAGGAUAACUACCAAGUUUACCUCUUGGCAAGGCGUUCGGUGUUUUUAAGUCCUCCGAACGGGACUCUCCGUAUUCUCAGUCGUCCUGGGAUUCGCUGGAUGGCGUAGUCGGUGGUUCCGGCGGUGCCUGCUCUUCGUGUAUAACUAUCUUCUCUCUCCACACCUGACUCGGUGCUACGGUCUCCUUAGGACAGUUCUGUUCAAGUUGUAUGUCUUCAGACAUUACCACUUCUCCUUCAUAGUCUGCCCAUCCAUCCUUUAUGAUUUUCCUCCUCUGGUUACGGUUGCGUCGUCUUCUUCUUGUCCUGACCUGCUUAGAGUCUUCAACUGUAUAGUUAGGGUCAGUAAAAUAGCGGCGUACCUUCUCAGAGGGGAAAUGCAUGUGGACUUCUCCAGUUCCAAAGUAGAUGAUUGCUUUAACGGUGCUGAGGAACGGUCUUCCAAGGAUGAUGGGUGGAUCGUACUUGUCUUCUCCCAUGUCAAUAACCUUCAAUCUUUCAGAAUGUCUGAUCUGCCAUCUGGAGCUGAAUGUAUGUUGGUUGUAGGGACAUGGUUCCAUGCAGGAGCUGAUAAGUGACUGCGGCCAUUAUGUUGACGUUAGAUCCGGUGUUGUAGAGUGUCUUCUGAAAAGAAUAUCCGUUGAUUGUGCACUCGAUGCUUGGAACACCAGGGUCGUCCUUCUUGAUCAAGAAAGGUGACUUGAGUUGACGAUCUUGACCUCCUCGAGCUGCAGUGACCAUCUUAGCUGACUCGGUACAUAUUUGCUUGUUCUUGUUCCUCCUGUUGGUCCUCUUCCUUGGUUCAUGUCGGGAUUGCUCUAGGAUUUGUGUAGUCUUGUUUCUUGAAGGAAAACGUCUCCUUCUUCCCCUUGAUGUAGAAACUGAUCUUGGCAGCACUAGUGUAGAUGAAAUGGCCUCCCUAGGAUGAUGGGUGCCCUCUCAGCAGUAUCAGUCUCUAUCACCACGAAGUCUGCUGGAGCGUAUAAGGUACCAACUCGGACGUAGAGGUUCUUCAAUAUUCCCUUUGGGAAACUUAGUGUCUGAUCUGCAAGCUGCAAACACAUGGUUGUUUCUAGGAAAGGAUGUGUAAAGAAUUUUUCAUAGAGUACCCGGAGCAUAAUGUUGACGCUGGAGCCAAAGUUGCAGAGUGCUUCUAGGAAGUCCACCAUGCCGAUGGAGAUCGGGAUGACGGGACGUCCUGGAUUGUAUCUCUUGACCGGCAGAAGGUCAGUAAUUACUUCCACAACAGGGUUACUCUAGUAGUUAUUUCCUCAAGCAUCUCAGGGCAGUGAUUUCCUGAGUGUCCAGUAUCUCCAGUGUGUUUGCGCUCGUAGAUAUAGGUACUUCACUUGGUGGAGUCUGGGAGUCAUAAAAGUCCUUCAUAUUUUGCUCGAAGUGUACCUACUCAUAGAGACAAGGCAGAGAUCAAGUGCAUGGGCCCUGUUGGUGGAAAACACCAACAGAACCAAAAGUGUAUUUGUUCUUCUCUAACCUUAAGCAUAGGGAGCAAGACAAAGUUGAUGGAUAAUAAGAUUAUGAGUGUAGUAUUUAAAACAUUUGUCAGAUCAGAUCGCUCAACCUAAUGGAAAGAUAAUCUAUCUAUACUUAUGUUUUGUUUAUAUCUUCCAAAGAUUAAGUGUGCAACAUUUUAGUUCAUAUGAUUAGCAGUGUGGGAUCACAAAGGUGGAAGGACUAAACAUGUUGAAUCGAUUGGGUUGGUUAAUCUAGAGUUGUAAAUCAUACAUGUUUGUCUCUUUUAUUCAUGUGAAUGCCAGAACCAAGGAGAAGCUUAUAGAAGUGAUAGUCAAGUACCUUAAGAUGUUACCUUACUUGAAGAGUGAUGGUACAGUAUCACCUUGUGGAAGCUUUCCUCUCUUAGCGGUUGUGCAUUGUGUUUGUGGCACCCUCCAUGGAUCAUCUUUUGUGAGCUAUGCCUUCCUUGUAUAAAUUGUUAAACUUCAUGUGUGUCUCUCUUUGUCUCUAAUGUGAGUUUAUCUCAGGACUUCCCAGGUCGAUAUUGAAAGUUUUCCUACAGGGGUUAGUCCAACAAAAUAUCCAAUAUCUACUAUAGCAUACUAUCGGCUCAAAGAUCAACCUAGACACCAUGUAUAAUUUGAUUUAGGAGGGCAUUUUAACCUAAGCAUCAUGCUUAAUUUAAAAUCCCUUGGAAGUAAGAUCAUCAUUCUUAACUAAGCACCAUGCUUAAUUAAGAGAUAAAUGAAACUACUCCAAACCUAAACAUAUACUAAAGCAAAUAAAGGUAGCAUGAGAGCAUUUAUAGAGAUCUACUUAAGUGGAGAUGAAGUAGUGUGUUUAGUAUUUAACAAAUUGAGCAUGUCUCAAAGGUAAGGACAGCCAACAUAGCAACAUUGCAAAGGAUGUUUUUAUGUAAAGUACUCCCCCAAGCUUGAAUUUUGUAAAAUUCAAGUUUGGAUGAAUUUAAUUCAAUGUUGUAUGAUGAUUGGUUGGACAUACCUUGUGCUUGUCAUUCAUCCGAUCUUCUUGCUUCAAUCCUGUAAAGGUUAGUGACAAGAAUACCCGAAGGAAUAUUUUUACAAUUAUCCUUAUAUGCUCAACACACAAGGUAAUGUUGCAAAUAAUUAAAAGAUCAUGUUACAAUCUGAUCAGUGCUUGUUUUAGGACACUAUGCUUGUCCUUGGGAAACCAUCAAUUUAUGUCAGUGAAGUGGUUUCCCCUCCAACGCUGACCUAUAUCAAGAUCAACUCAACGAGAUCUACAAAAUUUAUUAUAGACAUAUGCAUCGACAACCGCCCUUUUAAAGUUUUUAUAAAUAGAAAGGAAGAGGGGGUUGGAGAUCUCGAAUGUGGUGAUGUUGGAGAGACCAAUGGAUUGUGAAGAUGUUGCAUAUGAGCAUGGAGUAAAUGAAGUGGCUAUGAAAUAAAUUCCAUGCUCAUUAAUGCAUAGAGUGAAAUCCAUGUGGUAUGGUGAAAGUGAUAAGGUGAGUGUGGUAAAAAAGGAAAAGAAAAAGGAUACACGGACGACUUGGUUCGAAACUAGCACAGCUACCGUUCCCCGGCAACGGCGCCAGAAAGCUUGCUGGGUAUUUUAAACGCAAACAGAAAAAUCCGCAAGCGCACGGAUACCGAUGUAGCCUUCACCCGGGAGUAUUCCAGAGUAUCGAUUUUCCACAGGGAACGUGAGUGUACUAAUUAAGAUCCAAGAUCGCCCAAGGAUAACUAUAUGAUUAUUUUUGGUGGGAAGAGAGGAAGUUUCCUGAGAGUUCUCUAGUUGAUCUAAGAAUAAAGAGAUGAGAAGGGGGCUAGGAAGCUCCGACUACGGUCCUACAAACACCGAUCCGAACGAGGUGGAAUACGUCGACCGUUAGGGCUGUCACUACCCUAAGGCUACCACAACAAUCCGCAGGAUUGGGUGCAAUUCCAGGUAAUUGCAAGACUAAACACCACGUCUAAUCUAUUAAUUACUACUCUAAUGUUUCAAAGAUUAGAGCACUUGAUGCAAGCGGGAAUCCAAUAAAUAACUUGAAUGUAAAUAAAAGUAAUUAGAGAACUCAGGAGUUAUGAGUUGAAGAACCUGGAGAACGAUGAAGAACGAACCAGAUGCUGCAAAAGUACAAUGUUGAGGAAGAUCCGAUAGAUCUGGCUCCUCCUCCGCUCUCCUCUUCUCUCUCCCUAUUUUCUAGAUUACAACUAGAACUAACUAGAACUAGAACUAGAGGAACUAGAACUAGAACUAGAUGAACUAGAACUAGAUCUAGAUGAACUAGAGGUAGAACUAGAAGAACUAGAGGGAUCCUCUCUACUUGGAUGAAGAAUUGAAACCCGAGCUUUGAUUCUGUAGAAGAGGUAUGAUCUCCAGGGGCCAGGGGGCCUUGCUUAUAUAGUCUUUUCAGAUGAAUCUAGGCCGUCGGAUCAAACCGACAUUAAUCGCACGGUUUUCCUUGAUCCUUUAGGUCGGUGGAGCAUAAUCCGCGAAACAGGUCCGAAUUGGACACUGUAGCUGGGCGGGCGCCCAGGAGAGUUGGGCGGGCGCCCUGCCUCCGAGCCCGAUUUCCUUCCCGUUCGUUCCCGUGGCUUCUGGAGUCUUCUAGAUGAUAGAAAAUUGCGCGACACGUUAAUAUCUCUAUGUAAACCCGACGUGUGGGCCUUUCUUCCGUAUUUCCUGAUAACCCCCUACAGAAAUAGACAAACACCAAAACUCGUGGAAUUCUGUCAGAUAAAACCCUAAGUCUAGGUGUUGGUUCCAUUUAGAUCCUUUUCUAUGAUUAGUUGAUGGUUAAAUGUGAGCAUUAAGGACCGUCAACAGCUAUGUUGACGCCUGUGGGUGCCUAGGGACACACCAAAAUUUGGAAAAUCACUAUUAGAAGCAGAUUUCCACCAUUGUUAUAGAUUAAAUUUUCACAACUACAAGAGAGAGGCACCCCCUCUAAUUUGCUCUGGCUUCGCCCUUCCAUUCCACCAAAUAUAGAUGCUCCAUGCUCUAAGUGUAGAAUCUCUCUCUCUAAUAGCUAAAUGUUAGAUGAGACACAAAGCAAAGGCUAUAGAAAAAUAAUCAUCUUGUUAGGAAGGACAUCAUCAAGUCCUUGAAAAAAUGAGAAAAAUGCUAGCCUUGUCUUAAUAGAAAAAAUAGAGAGAGCACAAUCAAAUAAAGGAGCCAUCUAACCAUCAUACUCAUAGCAUCUUUCCACAUAUAUAUCUUGAUCUCGAGCAUGACACUACUCUUCCUCCGAGGAUCCGAGGGUUGACUUCACAACAUAUGCAAUGUAAGUACACCAUUCCCUUGUUCCUACCUUGAGCUCCACAUAAGCCUUUAUUGUAGUAGGAUUACAUAGAGAAGGCAACUUACUCAUAUGCCUCGGUAAGGAUUUAUACACCACUUGAGUGACUUGAGAGAAACCAUAUGAGGAACAUUAAGUUUUCUUUUGAAAAACUUAGCAAAAACCUCUGACAUGAAACUUGCUAAAGAAUGAGAAAAGUAGAUGUCUAGUCAAAGCUAUUCUAUCUCUCAACAUCCCAAUACUGAGUUAAUGCCAUAAGCCCCAUGGGUGCUAAAGUAACAUUGGUGUGUUAGCAUUGCUAAGUUUUCCAUUCAAGGAGAAGUUCUUUGUUGUGCACUUAGUACUAUUAAGAUGUUAACUUAGUGAUGAUACCUGAUCUAAUCGAACCAAGUCUUGAUUGUUUGCUCGGGACGAGCAAAGGUUAAGCUUGGGGGAUCUUGUUAACAGGAAAUAAGACCCAGUUCUAUAUAAUCAAAAGCCCAUCAAUAGUCCUCGAUUGAACAAAAUAAGCAUCACAUGAACAUAUAUAUCACUAAUAAAGUUCCACUUGUACUCUAAGCUUGUUCAAUGCAGGGAAGAAGGAAAUGAGCCCUGUGGGCCCCAUAACCUAGGUCGAUCGACCAUGGUUUGGGCCCACCAGGGGCUCCCUUCCAUGGCAUAAGACAUGGCAUACUCCAAGGAGUCAAUCCCAACCCUUGGAUCCAAGUGUGCUUGCCCUCAACGGUUCAAACACUUAGCAUAUGGAUCCUUGGGCCCACAUGGAAGCAAGCAAGUGUGCAACUAGACUCAAUUUUCGACAACACUUCACAUGACAAGUGGGGACACCACCAGGAGGCCAGUGGUGGGCCAGGGGCCCCAAAGGUCGGUCGGCCGACCGACCAAUUGGGUGAUGCCACCUGGCCCAGCCUCCCACCGACCUAAGGACCUUCCAGAAGGUUAGUGGGACCCACUGUCAGCCACAAGGUAGGUCGACCGACCUACAUGUGGGCCCCAUCUAGACUCCCACCGACCUUCCUCACAUUCACCAUGUGUGGUAAAGCUUCAACCGUCCAUCUAAGGCGCUUGGGAGGUCGGUGCAUCCUUGGGUGGAGAAGGAAGGAGCACGCGGAUCGCUGACGUGGCACCCCUCUCUCAUCCCUAUAUAAGGAGGGGUCCUCCACCUUCCCAAGACAUCUCCCAACUCCAUCUUCCAUCUCUCAUUUUCAUUUCCAAAUCCCACUUGGGAGAUCAAGUGUAGUGUAGUAUAGUCUAGUGGGAGUUAGAGUCGAGUUGAGCAAAGCUCGGGUCUCUAGAGCUGUCUUCUGGAGAGUCUAGUAUAGCUCUUGUACCUUUUCUCUUGUAUUACAUUAUUUAUAUCAAUAUAGUCUUUCUUUACUUUACUAAGUAUUUACUUCAAGUCUUUACUUUGAGUAUUGCUUAGUGCAUUACUAUACUUGUAGUAGUGUUGUGUCUUAGUCUUAUUACUGUGGCUGCCUUAGUUAGAUUAGUGUCCUCAACACCUUGUGUGUGUUCACUACCAUUAGGGGCUUUGGCUAUUUACGUGAUAGUUGAAGUUAUAAGACUAGUUUAAGCGAGGUGCUUAGGCUAGUGCUUAUUAGUGGAUGCCACCGUAUCAAACGUGUUAGUUGGCGGCGGCGAAGCGUGACAGCCCUGUGCUUCCCAGUAGGUUCUAUUCACGUCGGGUAUGGUCUGUAGGCGCCCAUAAGACAAAAGUCCGCUUUGAUAGGAGUUUUGUCCUCCUAUUGCAGUCGACUUCCACCACACAAGACUGUUUGGAUACUAGUCUAGUUGAGUCAUUUACAUUUAUCAAGAUUAGAAUACAGAAGUAGAGUUAGAGACAUAGGAGUCCUUACUCACUCGUUGUCCUCCCACCUAGCUAGCUCGGUACCAGUUAUCUUUACUUACCUUUAUCUGACUUAUCUAUUAUUCCAUCUUGCUAUUGUUACCCCCUAUUAGCACUAGUGAACUUAGAUUGAGUAGACACAAACCACGGAUAUCCAUCCAUAUAUUUAUUAGAGAGUCUUACUCCGCUUCCCAUGAGUGAACUAUAAAUUACGACACCGCGGAUACUCACCAAAGGUUGAAGUGCUAUAGCGGUACCUGUGCGCUUGCAGAGUUACCCUUGGUAUGUCUUGCGUCACCGCUAGAGUUUAGCGUUGCUUAGCAUUUCUGGAGCCGUUGCUCAGGGUAGCCUAACACCCUAUCCUAGUAACAGCUCAGGCUUGCAUUUAAGCGGUGUUGGUUAGGUGCCACCAUUUCUAGAUACUUGUCAAAUCUUACUCUAGCCGGUGUGCAUUAAGAUUUGCUAACAAUAGCCAACCGUGAUUAGGUAUCCACCUAUAUCUCGUAGGUGAUAGGAAAUCACCUGGCUUUUACCAGACUAUGCAUGGCUAAGCAGUAUUUUAAUUCUGGACCUACUCAAGGUAAGGUAUAAAGGUGGACAAGGAAGAGUAUUCAUGCAGCAAGGAUUUCACAUCAACGCCUACCACUUAAUGCAUCAGGUAUAAAACCAUAUGUACUUGACUCUAAAACCGUUAUAAAAAAUAAUGGGAGACUUAAGAUGCUCUGGGGCUUGCCUACGACAAACAUAGCAGGAUGGUGGUUAGGACACUCUGGCAAGUUUUCGAAGUCAGCUUCUCCUUCAGUCUCUCCCUCCUGAGGUGGAUCAUUCUGCUGUUCCUCCGAAUCCAGUGGGGCAAAUUCCAGAAGCAUUACUCCUUGGGGUGCACCUAGUUAUGCAUGACAAGGUGAUAAACGUAAGAAAUGCACAUAGAAUGCAAGCAUGUCAUGAUAAUGGACUAGGAGAAGCAUGUAAUAGAAGUACAAAACAUGACCAAGAAUAUGUGAUCAAGAAAUCUACUAGCUUAUUGGGGCUGCGCAUACUUUUUCUCCUGUAGAGAAGCUAUCUCUAUAGAUUGCUCAACUAAACCACCACAUCUAGGCAGCGAAUUUGCUAAGCAGAAAUUAGCAGUCACAGGAUUCAGCCAUAACCUGAGCAGCUUUUAUUAAAAUUAAGCGAGUAAGUACUCUUUAAAAAGCUUAUCAAAUUACCUAAAACUCAUCUUUAGACAUCACAGGUUGAUUCUUAACACAAAAUGGUCAUAAUGACAAAGAUCCAGAUCUGCUCUGGAAUUCCAGAGACCAAACACUUUAUAACUAGCACUCGUGAUACUUACAAGUUCUACGUCCUUUGGUCAAAUGUUAUGACAUUUGACAAAAGGGUUUAGGAGUUAUAACUAUUACAAGUUCUAGUUUUAACUCCUAAACCCUUUUGUCAAAUGCUAUGAAAUUUCAACACAAAACGAUGAUCAAGUUAGCUACAAGUUUGUUAUAAACAAUAAUUCCAGCAAACCUUAUCUUCAUUCAGUUUCUAUUGAAGUUUUAUCAGUUGCUCUAUAGAAGCCAUAAAUAGCUAAAAUAAUAUUUCACCAUAUAUGAGAAAGUAACAUUGACCUAAACCAAUUUCACUGACAGCUAUAGAAUAUCUAAGAAACAUUCAAAAACUUCAUGGAAGGCCAAAACUCAUUUUUAAUAUACCUUUUUCUAUUUAUUGAUUAUUAAAGGUGAAUUAAUAAGUAUAUAGCAUAAGUGCUCCAAAAAUUCUAACAACAUUACAACAAGCAACUCAUGUGUUGGGUACCAUAAACCCGAAUACCCAAAUUAAGAGGGAAAAAGCGGCAAAAAAGAAUAGGGGUGAACCCCGAGCCCCAGCAUAAACCAGCGCCUCGACCAAGCCCUUAGCCUCGGGCACGAUCUCCGUCUCGCCCGAGCUCUUGGCUGCGGGCGCAACCUCUGUCUCGCCCGAGCCCUUGGCCUCAAGCGUGAUCUCCGCCUCGACCGAGCCUUUGGCCUCGAGCACGAUCUCCAUCUCGACCGAGCCUCGGCCUUGAGUGCGAUCUCCGCCUCGACCGAGCCCCGGCCUUAAGCGCAAUCAACGCCUCACCCGAGCCUCGGCCUCAGUGCCAGGCUUCCAACACACGGUGGCUGUACCACUGAUGUGACGCGCGCCAUGUCCCCCGUGAUGCAACAGGGCACGUCUUCCACUAUUCCAACAACUCCCAUCACUGUGGCGCCUUACCUCUGUCACUGUGAGGCGCUGCACGAUAGUAAAAGGAAUGGGAGGAGAUUAACCCCUGCCACUGUAACCAUACUUUGGCAGUUACUGUUCUACUAUUGCAGGACAGGCCAUAGGAUCUAAAAUCUGACCUCCAUGACACGAACAGGGCUCGAUGAUGCUCCACAGGGACGACCAUGCCGUCACCCACACCUCAAGGACGAGGCAACCCAUGUCCACUGGGUCGGCACUGUUACACUAUGGCACACUGAAGAUAGAUUAUAGACUUACAUAUGUAAAAGCCCUGCCACCUCUUGUGACUAUAAAAGGGGAGGCAUGGCACCCCUUAGCGAACAAGUUUAACACACAAAUUCAACACAUCAGGCAACAUAUUCCACACACAUAGGUGUAGAGGACUCAGGACACUGAGCAUCUCACAACUCACUUCUCAAUCUGAGACCUAGAACUUAGCCCUCUCUGGCAACUAGCUUGUACCCCCCUACUACAAGCACUCUCAGGUUCAAGGCAAUACAGACCCCAACUCUCUCUCACUAGACAUAGGGCAUCCAAGGCCCAAACCAGUAUAAGCCCUUUGUGUUCUCUUGCAUCACCAUUCGGGUUAAAGGGCCACGUAGACUCAUCACUCGUUAGUGCCUAGACCCCGAGUCCAGACGCCGAUAGUUGGCGCGCCAGGUAGGGAACUUUUGCGUGUUUCUCCCUUUUCCCUGCUAGGGAAAGCCCGAAUGGCGGACGGAUUUCGCCCACUUCACCUCGGCACCAUCAUAAUGUUUGGGAGUUUGGAGCUUAUGUCUCUUGGCUCUGGCUACGAUGUGGUCCUCCUCCCACCUUGUGACAAUGCUGAGCCUCAUCCCGAGCCAAUCCCGCCGUAGCCAGUGCGUUGGAGGCGCUUGGGACAUCAUGCAGGGGGAGCCCGACGUGGGCAUCAAAGGUCCAGGAUCUCUAAUCCUGCCGCUGAAGCUAGGACUCGUCCGGCUCUCCCCCACACAUUCCUCACCAGAUCGCCCAUUCGUCUGGCCCAUGCUAUGCUAGAGGAAAAUCCUGUGGAGCUUCAAGUUCUGCUUCAAGGGCUAGCAGGGGGCAACGCGACCCCCUAUUCCCCCUCAAUCAAAGGGCAAAGCGCAACCUCCAACUCCCUUUAAAAAAGGGGACACGGGGGCUUCAUCUUCACAGCUCCCUCCCAUGUCGCCCUCCAAAUCUAGGACGAUAGCAGGAGGACAUGUGGCUACACCUCUUGUGCUCCCCUAUGGGCUCAAGAACGCAGCCACCUCUUCCACCUCUUCUACAAGCACCUCACUAAGUGCAUACGAGGAUCUCCUCGGGCAUCACCUAAGGUCUACCCUUGACCUUAUUGCCACCCCACCUAUUUUGUACUAUCCUAAGGAGCCUACCUUGGGUGAAGACAUGUGGGCCGGUGCUAACUUCUCUGGUCUUGGUGACCCAGAGACCUUCAUGCACUUCCUUGAGGCAAGCAACUAUUGCCUCGGCUACUCCGACUCCGAUGGAGACAAUUACGAUCUAUCACGAGAAUGCUUCAACCUUGAGGUCAACGGAGCGGCCCCAAAUGAUCAAGGCGGCGUAGGACCCUCAGAGCGAUGGAACGCAACUCCCCCUCCCAAUGUGACCCACAAAGUUCAUCCUGGGGCUCAGGGAGCCGCGUCUGCCCCAGCAGGGGCACGAAGGCCUGACCUCAAGCAGCUCAAUGAGCUGGAGGCCAGGCUCGAAGAGGGACGCGUACGCCUCCAGUAGCUACACGAAACCCUAGAGUAGGACCAGUCUGCUCGAUGGGACAGAGGAGCGGCUAGAUGCCACGCUCACGACGUCAAUCGAUGCAUUGUCGAAGACACUGGGGGGGUGAUCCACCAGUAUUUAGCACGGCCAGCUAGAACAUGAUGGCUGCUGUGCUGCUCCUCAGGGUGAUGCCCAAGCCAUCGACCCCUGAGGGAUGAAGAGUGCGCUAGGGGCUUCGAGGACUCCUAGAGCACGCAGUGGUGCAAAAUGCGGAAAGCUCCAUGUGGCAGUCCCACGACACGCGGGCAAGACGGCUAGGGGAUUGACCCCUUUGAACAAAGCACCAUCUGUGCAAGGCCCUAUGCCCCUAACCCACAAGGGGGCGCAAAGGCCCCUUCUGUCCAUGAGCAUAUCAGAGGCAACAUGGAUGCAAGGGCGACCCUUGAGGCCCGAUGUCGCGAUAGGGACGAGGCUGAGUCUCAGUGGUACCGACCGAGCUGAGGCGGGAGAUACGACCCUGAGCAUGACCGCAGCACGUCGCCUGAGCCUGAGCCUGAGCCACGUCUUUAGUGAGGCAAUCCGCAAGGGCAAGUUCCCUGCCUAAUUCUAACAGCCAGCAAACCUCACCAAGUACUGAGGGGAGACCAACCCUAAGCUCUGACUCGCGGACUACUGCCUAGCAUGCCAGCUGGGCGGAGCGGACGAUGACUUGCUCAUCAUCCGCAACUUGCCACUACACCAGGCCGACUCAGCCAGGGUGUGGCUCGAGCACCUUCCUGAGUGUCUGAUCCAUGGCUAGGCCAACCUAGUUAGGAUCUUUGUCGGGAACUUUUAGAGCACAUACAUGCACCCUGGGAACUAGAGGGACCUCAGGAGCUGCCGACAGAAGCCUGAUGAGUCUCUCCGAGACUUUAUCAGGCGUUUCUCCAAGCAAUGCACCGAGCUCCCUAACAUCACCGACUCCAAUGUCAUUGGGGCGUUCAUCGCCGACACCACUUGCAAUGAGUUAGUGCAUGAGCUUGGGCGUAAGACCCCCCACAAGCACCAACCAGUUGCUCAACAUUGCCACCAACUUUGCCUCUAGUGAAGAGACAGUUGGGGCGACCUUCUCUGAUGGCAGCGCCAAGGGGAAGCAAAAAGCCAAAGCCACUGAGACCUCAGGCUCCCAAGACCCUAAAAAAGAAGAAGAAGGGUUGCAAGGGGAAGCAAGGAUGGCCGGACGACAACCUCAUCGCCGCGGCAGAUCGCAAGAACCCCAAGCAGGCUCCUGCUAGCUCUGGUCUCUUUGAGGAGGUGUUGAAGAAGUCGUGCCCCUAUCAUAGGGGCCCUACCAAGCACACUCUUGAAGAGUGCACCGUCCUGCAUCGCUUCUACACUCGCAUUAUGGCCAAGGAAGACGCGGAACAGCCCGCAAGGACAAGGACAACGACACCGAGGGGGAAGGCUUCCCCAAGGUUAGGAACUGUGUCCUGAUCUUUGGGGGACGCACGGCUCAGCUCACCGUGAGCCAGAGGAAGCGUGAACUCUGUGAGGUUUGCGCGGUCAACAUAGCCAUGCCCUCUUACCUCAAGUGGUUGGAGAAUGCCAUCACCUUCGAUCGACGAGAUCACCCGGACCAGAUCCCGAAGCCCAGGAGCUAUCCGCUCAUUGUCGACCCCAUCAUCGUCGAGACAUGCCUCUCUAAUGUACUGAUGGACGGAGGCAGCAGCCUCAACAUCCUUUAUGCUGGGACCUUGCUCCUCAUGGGGAUUAGAAAGUCUCGGCUAAGGAAUGACGCAGCACCAUUCCAUAGAGUGGUGCCUGGGCACCGAGCCCACCCCGUCGGGCACAUCGACCUGCCCGUCUGCUUUGGGACCCCAGCAACUUCAUGCGGGAGAUCAUCACCUUCGACGUGGUUGGGUUCCCAGGAACCUACCACACAAUUUUGGGCAGGCCAUGCUAUGCUAAGUUCAUGGCCAUCCCCAACUACACCUACCUAAAGCUCAAGAUGUCGGGACCAAACGACAUCAUCACCGUCAGCACAACAAGCCAGCACAACUAUCAAUGCAACAUUGAAUGCAUUGAGCAGGCCGAGGCUAUAGUCAAGAUGGUGUCCCUCAUCACCAGCCUCGGCGAUGUCGACCAGGACGUCCCCGACCCAAAGCGCCAUGCCGAGAGCUUCGAGCCGGCGGAGGAUACCAAGCUCAUCUUCCUCGACCCCGAGGCCACCAAGGGCAAGGCGUUGAGGAUCAGCUUGAACCUCGACCCCAAAUAGUAAGCAGUGCUCAUUGACUUUCUCUGCACAAACACUGACGUAUUUGCGUGGAGUCCCUCGGACAUGCCAGGCAUACUGAGGGAAGUCGCCGAGCACUCCUUGGACAUCCGAGUCGGCUCCAAGCCCGUGAAGCAACGCCAGCACCAAUUCGUUGAGGAGAAGCGUCGGGCCAUCGAGGAGGAGAUCCACAAGCUGCUAGCGGCUAGGUUCAUCAAGGAGGUAUUCCAUCCUGAGUGGUUAGCUAACCCUAUACUAGUCAAAAAGAAAAAUGGAAAAUGGAGGAUGUGUGUGGACUACACUAGUUUAAAUAAAGCAUGUCAUAGAUUUUCUAUUACAUCGUAUCAAUCAAAUAGUCGACUCUACCUCAGGAUGUGAAACAUUACCAUUUCUUGAUGCAUACUCAGGCUACCACCAAAUCAAGAUGAAAGAGUCCGACCAGCUCGUGACCUCUUUCAUCACACCUUUUAGAAUGUUUGCUACGUUACCAUGCCGUUUGGCCUUAAAAAUGAAGGGGCUACAUACCACCGAUGUAUUCUUUAGGUCUUUGGGGACCUCAUAGGAAGAACGGUAGAGGCCUACAUAGAUGACAUCGUAGUCAAGUCUAGGAAGACAACUGGCCUUGUCGCCGACCUAGACGAAACCUUCCGAUGCCUCAAAGCCAAAGGAAUCAGACUCAACCCCGAGAAAUGCGUUUUCGGGGUCCCCCAAGGCAUGCUCCUUGGGUUCAUAGUCUCUGAGCAAGGGAUCGAGGCCAACAUCGAGAAGGUCUUGGCCAUCACAAGUAUGGGCCCAAUCCGCAACAUUAAGGGGGUGCAAAGAGUCAUGGGAUGCCUCACGUCCCUCAGCCGAUUCAUCUGCCGCCUCGGGGGGAAAAGGCAGUGUUGACGGUCCUUAAUGCUCACAUUUAACCAUCAACUAAUCAUAGAAAAGGAUCCAAAUGCAACCAACACCUAGACUUAGGGUUUUAUCUGACAGAAUUCCACGAGUUUUGGUGUUACUCUAUUUCUGCAGGGGGUUAUUAGGAAAUACGGAAGAAAGGCCCACACGUCAGGUUUACAUAGAGAUAUUAACGUGCCGCGCAAUUUUCUACCAUCUAGAAGACUCCAGAAGCCACGGGAACGAACGGGAAGGCGAUCGGGCUCGGAGGCAGGGCGCCCGCCCUACUCUCCUGGGCGCCCGCCCUGCUAUAGUGCCCAAUCAGGGUCAACUUCGCGGAUCGUGCUCCACCGACUCUAAGGAUCAAGGAAAAUCACGCGAUUAAGGUCAGUUUGAUCGGAUGGUGGAGAACAACGUGGAAAUUCCUUGGGAGCUACUCUUCCUAGAUUUCUUGGGGGCUACUCUUCCUGGACUAUAUAAGCAGACCCCCACUAGCCCCUGGAGGCAUACCUCUUCUACAGAAUCAAAGCUAGGGUUUCAAUUCUUCAUCCUAGU
rnacentral:lncRNA from 1 species